rnacentral:lncRNA from 1 species
GGGCAAGUUGCCCAAAGGACAGUACAUUGCAGUGAAGAGACUUUCGAAAACUUCAAACCAAGGGCUCGAGGAGUUCAAGAACGAAGUUAUGCUCACUGCCAGCCUGCAACAUGUCAACCUCGUUCGCCUUCUUGGAUUUUGUACCAACAGGGAAGAAAAGAUGCUGAUCUAUGAGUACAUGCCAAAUAAGAGCUUGGACUUUACCUAUUUGGUUCGACAUCUUUCAUGCUUCUUACGAUAGUCAUUGAUCAAAACCUGGGUUUUUUUAAGUGACAUCUAGUGUGAUACUCCAAAAAGCUUAGAUGGGUCCUCAGUUCCACUACAAGGGCUAGGGCAGGUGGACCCUUUUAAGCAUUUGGGCUACGCAAUGGUAUGCAAUGCUCUAAUUUCGCUUCCUGUUCUGAUAGUCUUUAGGUUUUGAUGAUGCAGAUCCAAUAAGGAAAUAUUCACUGGAUUGGGUGAAACGUGUUCAUAUCAUAGAAGGCAUUACACAGGGGCUUCUUUUUCUCCAAGAAUACUCGAAUUUCACAAUAAUUCAUCGAGACUUGAAAGCCAGCAAUGUUCUUCUGGAUGAUGAAAUGAACCCCAAGAUAUCAGAUUUUGUUUGGCGAGAAUAUUCAAGAAGGAUGACAUUGAAGCAAAUACCAGCCGAAUUGUCGGGACGUAGUAAGAGAGCUAACUAGGCCCUCCUAGUGUUACCUCAUAGGUAUUCUUCUGCUAAAAGCCUGCUGCUUAAAACCAAUUUUUGUUAUUGCAUACAGUGGGUAUGUUCCGCCAGAAUAUGUGAGGAAGGGCAUAUACUCGAUGAAGUACGACAUCUACAGCUUUGGGGUACUGCUGUUGCAAAUCAUCAGUGGUAGAAGGACCUCAUGUUACUACGGCCUGAAUGAAAAUCUGAAUCUUCUUGAUUAUGUAAGUAGAGAUUAUUUGUGAUUCCAAAAUUUUCUGGGCUCAAAUUUAGGAACAUGAAAUUUGACUUUUAACCAACUGGCGUUCUUAAUUUCAGGCAUAUGAGCAGUGGAAAGACGAUAAAUGCAUGGAGUUCAUUGACCCGUCUUUGGAUGACUCUUCAUCAUCCUGUAAGCUCUUGAGAUGCAUGCAAGUGGCUCUUCUAUGCGUGCAAGAGAAGCCUGGGGACAGGCCAUCCAUGUUGGAAGUCUAUUCAAUGCUCAAGAAUGAAUCUUCAGCCGUGAACUUCCCCAAGAAGCCUGCAUUUUCAAUUAACAAGGAUGAAGAUGAGGAUGGCAAGUGCUUGCUUAAGGAAGCAGUUCAUUCAGUCAAUGAUGCAUCAAUUUCUGAAUUGUUUCCUCGCUGAUUGUACAUUGCAUGUAUCCAGUGUUGUGAAUACUAAUACCAUAAAGAGAUUAUUUUGUUAACUUAUUUGGUUGCCUAGUAAUUCGUAUGUGCCAGUGGCAUUUUUUUUCCCCAAUUAAUUGUAAUAUUUUUUGACAUCUGUGUAUAUAUAUAUUUUUAAUCAUUUAGAGGCAGUUCAAGUUAGAAAUGAUCGAUACCUAAUCCGGUUCAAUUCCACCUGGGUACUGAGAAUCGGACCAGAGGAAUUGGUUUCUAGUUUCUAGAAUUGGGGACUGGACUGACCAGUCCGGUUCAGUUCCUGGAUGGUCUGAAGAAACUGGUCGCCUGCUCUGUUUAUUCCCAGCCUUUGCUUGAUCAUACCAUGAACUCAAGGCGUCGUUCUCACAAUCGGCUUGAAAAGACUUGAGAGUCAUGAGCAAAUCAGACCCCAAACCACACAAAUCCGGCAAUGUUCUUUCUUCCAUCUUAAUAUAGGUUUAAGUGAUGGGACGAUUCGGAGACUUUUGCCUACACAGCACACACCUAGACCUAGAAUCUAGCAAGUCUCGUGAAAAUGAACGGCGAGACACGGGAAAUGUAAUACGAAAAAAGGGCAAAAUACAGAUCAUUACCUUGAUGAGAAUCGAGAUGGAAGAAACAGAGCAAGAGAGGAGGCGAGAGUUGAGAUGAUACCGCGAGAAGGUGGCGUCAAGCUUGAGCAAAAGGGAUGCGACUAAGGCGAGAGAAGGCGACGCCGCGCCGCCAUUUGAGAGGGAAGGACUGAAGAACGAGGCAUCUCGUAAGCUGCGUGAGCUUAGACGAGAUUAUUGAUUAGGUUUUAAGAUUACACUCUUAACUUCACGGUACUAUUCUUCAAGAAAUUGAAAAAAAAAAUUGAAAAAAAUAUAAAUUGGUCCAAUCAAUGUGAUUUGGUUCCCACCAUGGAAUUGGAAACCAAAUAAAAAAUCACUAGUUCCAUAAAAUUGGAACAAGGAACUGGAUUAGUGUUGCCUAGAACCACCCGAAACUAGUCAAUUUGAUCCAAUCUAGACGUUACAGUUCGUUUGGUCCAUCUUGCUCAAUCCUAGUUCAAGUGUUCCUUCUUUUGUCUUGUAUCCUAUUAAGGGAGAAAUAUAUAUAUAUAUAUAUAUAUAUAUAUAUAUAUAUAUAUAUAUAUAUAUAAAGUUAUAAACCUAUUACAUCGGUAUCAAUUCGAUCCUCAAUUUUUUAAUUAGAUCAAUUUAAUUUUAAACAUUUUUACAUUAAUACAAAUUCAGUUCAUCCACCUAACUUAGGUUGGAAAUCAUUGAUGUGAACGUCAGUCAUUUUAUGUGAUGUGAUCAGUGUUAACGUAAAUAUUUUUAAAUAAUAUUUAACAACUUUUCGAAUUUUUUUUUAUGAUUUUUGUUUUUCUAUUAAUUUUUUUCUUUUUUCUCCUUUCAUUUUGGCUAACGAGGGCCAACAAACCCUCGCUAGCCGUUAGAUGGCUUAAAUUAAUAAAAAAAAUUGUUGACGUGGACAUCGACUAUCUUACGCAGCACAAUAAAUGCUAACAUGAACCUUUUUUUUUUUUUUGAAAAUUUAGUUGGAAUGAGGUGACUCUCAUGAUCCGGUCGUUGGGCUAGAGUGGGUUCGUGCUCCGUUAAAAAGAGUUUUAAAAAUAUAAAGUCAACUUACGAUUCUAGAAAAUGCCACAUGUAGCCCAAGCAAGUACUUUACGUGACUAGUACAUAUAUUACUUAAAAUUGAAUCGGGAUUGUUAGAUUUGGAGAACCCACAUGGGACCACCCUUUUUAAUGGUCCACACUGAAAUUAGAAUAUGAACUCACCCCCGCAAACUAAUUUCUCUUUGCAGCCCAUGUGUGUGUCUAUAUUUAUAUAAAGGUUCAAAUUACUUAGAUCUAUCGUGGCGACGGGGUGUGUGUGUGGAUUCAAGCCAGCAUGCCGGUCGAGCAGAUUGUGUUCGGCUUCCCCUUCUACGGGCAUGCAUUUGCCCUCACAGAUGCCAACGAUCACAGCUACUUCGCGCCUGUCACCAGGUCGGCGAUAUCCUCCAAUGGAAAUAUCAUGUACAAUCAAAUCACAACAUACAUAUCCCAAAAUGGCGCUACCAUGGUGUACAACUCUAUGGUGGUGUUUGCCUAUUGCUAUGUUGGGAUGACAUGGAUCAAUUACGAUAUUACACAAACUAUAUCUACCAACGUCGCGUACUCCAAGGGAAGAGGACUUAAAGGUUACUUUGCGUGACAUGUGGCUGGUGAUGACAAUUGGGUUCUCUCUCGAGCAAGUAAAUUUAUGAGAUUUAUGUUACAUAGCAUCAAUCAAUCAUGGAAAAAUUAUCCAAAAAAUUUCAAACUUAUUAUACUUUUGUCAAUUCCAUUAUAAACCGUUCAAUUUUAUUACUUAAGUCUUCAAUUUUUUAUGUUUUACCACUUGAAUCAAUUUGGUUAAUUUUAUUUGGCAAUUGCUGAUGUGGAUACCGACCAUUGUAUGUGACAUGAUUCAUAUGAUAUUGACAAUUUUUAAUAAUAUUUUAAUAUUUUAUCAAAUUAUUUACUAAUUUUUUUUUUAUUUUUUUCUCUAUUCUACUCUUCUCCUUCUUUUCUUCUUAUAUUUUUUCCUACUUAUCUCUUCCUUUUUUUAUUUUUAUUUAUUUUCUUUUCCCCUCCACUAGCAAUUGUCAACCCAGCCAUCAACGAGGCUUGAUGGUGGCUGACAAAGGGGAAAAUGGAAAGAGAAAGAAUUUAAAAAUAAAAAAGAAGAAGAGAAAAGAGAAAAAAAAAACCUAAAAAAUAUUAAAAUUUGUCUAUGUCAGCGCCGAUCAUGACAAGUAAGAAGGUCAACUUUCAUGUCAACAAUUUCUAGCAAAAAAAUGAUUGAAUUGACUCAAUUGGCAAAACGUAAAAUUAUUUAUGAUUUAAUUGAGAAAAUUGAAAGAUUUAUGAUUAAGUCAGCAAAAAUUUAAUAGAUUUAGGACAUUUUGGAAAUUUUGUAGUAUACAUUCUAUUUCCCAAGUUUAGCCCGAAGCCUAGCUACAUAUAGUAUAGUAAAUGUCUUUCAAACAUCAUCUUAUCAAGUCCGUAACUCCUUAAAAAAAAAAAAAAAAAAAAUCCCUGUGUUUAAAUCAAAUUUACACUGCAUGUUCAUCUAAGAUGGAAGGAGAUUCUUUUUAGAGAUAUUGCAAUUCACCAUAGUUAAUAUCAGAAUAGACUUAGUCAUUUGAGGAACAAUGUUUUUUUUUUUUUUUCCCAAUGAAGUACAAGAGUGUGAAGGAAAGGAAAAUCUUGCUAAGCUCUCUAUGUCCAAGGGAGAAUAAAUGGAUCUGGAUGUUUGACUUUUUAAAUAACGCACACACACACUUAUAUAUAAGUCAAGUCCGACCCCGUUUUAUUCAAUCUUAUAUUGAUUAGAUCAUUUUGCACGAAGAGGCAGUUUGCAUUGGGGAAGCAAAAAAGCCUAUCACGUCAACAAAUGGUCAAACUGAUAUUUAUUUUCAAAGAUGUCAGAGAUUUGGUUCCACUUCGUCGUACCCAUCCUUGCCUGUUUCCUCCCUGCAUGCUCUGACUAAAGAAAAAUGUCAAAACUUUUCCCGAUUAGCGGAUCAAAUUUAUCAGUCUAAUUCUAGUCUCCUUCAAUUUUCAACCUGUUGUUGCAAGCUUCAAGCUCGUGGUGACCUAGACGACGUCAGAGGAGACAUUAUUUACUUGUGUUAAUCGAAGUUUGGUCCACUAAUGUGAAGGAUUUAUGGCAUCCCAUCUCACAAUAAAAUGUACUCUUAGCGGAGGAACUAAAGCAAGAUCCAAUGAUGUAAUGGUAAACUUGUAUAAUUUUUAUUAUAUAAAAAGAAUAGAAAUACGUUUGGUAAAUUUGUAUAAUUUUUUUCGUUUCUUUUAAUUUUUUAAUAAUUUUAUUUUAUUUUUCCUUUUUUAUUUUUUCUUCCUUUUGGCCGGUUGCCAGCCUUGGCCAUGGCUAGCGACCAAUUGACAAGGGCCGACAGCCUCGCCCAGCCACGGCGAGGCUCGCCGGCUGGCGUGAGGUCGGCCUCAUUGGGGGCCGGCGACGCUCCGGCAAGGUUGCCGGCCCUCGACGGCCGGUCGCUGGAGUUGCCGGUCCUCGAUGGCCAGUCACCGACCAUGGCCGAAAUCGACGACCGACCAAAGAAAAAAGAAGAAUAAAAGAAGAAGAAAAGAAAUAGAAGGAAAAAAUAGAAGAGAGAAAAAUUAUUUCUCAGAAGUGCUAUUAGAAACAAGAAACAAGUUUUUCUUGUUUCUUAUUUCCGUUCCAAACCUGUUCCUGGGAACAAAAAAAUAGAUGUUUUGUUCUCCGGAACAAAAGUAUAAACAAACGUGUUUAUGUUCUUUUUUUAUUCCCUGGAACCAAAGAACAUAAUUUGUGUUUCGAGGAACAAAAAAAAAAACACAAACAGGCAGGCCCUUAAUGCAGCGUAGGUCUUCUUAAUGAUGUAUGAGAGCUUGUAAGUUUCAUCUUAGGAGGUUGGCGUCACACCCCAAUUCCACAAGGAUAGAAGCAUGACAUGACUGUCCUUUCUCCAAUUUCAACUUGGUAUUACAGCUUCAAGUUCGUGGUGACCUCGAUGACGUUAGAGGAGACAUUAUUUACUAAUGUUAAUCGGAAGCUUGCUCCAAUAAUGUGAUGGAUUUAUAGUAUUGCAUCUCACUGUAAAAUCUAUUCUUAGGCCAUGUUUGGUAACCAUCUUAUUUUCUUGUUUUUUGUUCUUUUGUUCCCUAGAAAACCGGAACAAAAAAAGAAUAGAAAUCCAUUUGAUAAUGUCAACUAAUUUUUCCAUUACCCGAAACAAAUUAGUAGCUAGGGAAUAGAUUUGGAACAAAACUAGAAUUAUAAAAAAAAAAACCUACAUCUUUGUUCCCAGGAACAAAAAGAGAAAUAUGGCCAUUUAAAAAAAGAUAAGCUCAUCGUAACCUAAUGUUCGUCUUUAUACAAUCAACACAAGGUCCAGUCUCCUAACCAGAUCCAAGUCCCCAUUUUUGGAAUAAAAAAAUAAAAUAUACAACAAUUAUGAGAUUUAGGAAAAAAGGUAGAAAUCAAAUUUUGAGUAGUUUUACUAGAUUAUAGUGUUAAUUAUAGUUUAGAAUUAGUUUAACAUAUAAAAAAAUGUGAAUCUUUUGAUGAAAAUUGGAUUCAAAAUUGAAUAAGCUUUUAGGGCUUUACUAUAUGGAUUUUUCAAUACCGUUUUCUUUUAGAGACAAUACUAGGUCAUGAAAGUUUGGUGACUCCGGUAUUCUUCUUUUAAGAUUCUAUUGGAGACAUCCUUUAAGAUCAUCUACAGUUUUGUUUUAAUAAAAAAUUAUAUGGCUUUGAACAAGUGUUUUGCAUUACAAUUUGUCUUGUGUUAUAGCAAUCAAAUAGUCUAUGCUCCAUGAAUUUUUGAUGUCAUUUGCUUGAAGAUUUGAUGAGUUUGUGCAAAUAAGCACACCAAAGAUCACUUCCAUCCUCAAUUGUUCCGCCAUUGUCCAUUUUAUCAAGCAACGUUGGCUCUUCUUCUUAUAGUUAAAAAAGUUUAAAAGGUAUAUGCACUUCUUUAUUAUAAUGCCCAAAGAUUUACUACCAACAUCCUCGCAUUAUGAAUUAUAAACAAGCGAGACUCUUUGUUGUCAUUUCCAACCAUUCAUCUUUGACUCACCAUUAUGUUAGAUUUUCUGAGAGCACUUUAGAAUAUUUUGGUCUAUUAAAUUCUUACAAAAGUCUAAUUUUAUUUAAACAUGAAUUUUUAGGUCUCCACGAACAUUUUUAUAAUUAAAUGAAUAAAAUUGAGAAUAUAAAUUUUUAGGGUUGUACCAAACACAUUUAUGUUUGUUUUCUAUUUUGAGAAAAAAAAAAUCAGUUACCAAAAGCAUUUUUAUAUUAAGAAUUCAGAGAAUAAAAAUAGAAAAACUAUUUCUAAAUACAAAUUAUUUCCGAAAACAAAAAUGUUAUCAAACGUACUCUUAUUGGAUGAGCUAAAGCAAGAUCCAAUGGAUUUAUACGAUCUAACAUUAACAUGGGUUUGAUAGUCAGCACAUAAACACAUUAAGAAUGCAAAGGAAAAUAAUGGAUUUCAAUAACCAAUAGAGUAAAAGGAUCUGAAAGGAAUGAGUUAGAAUGUUAUUAACAUGUAAACGGGGGGAAAAGCAAUGAAAAUAACGCGUAUAGAGAUGCAUAACAAGAUAGGCCUGAUCAUCGGUUGGAUGCGGUGAUACAUGACCCGUAUAUUUGGUCAAUCACAUUCAUUCCCAAAAGGGAAAAAAGCCAUAAAAAAAAUAUAAAUUAUACUUGACAUGACAUAUUUAAUCCAAACCAUUUUUUUUAACAUAAAAAACCCUAUACUAUUUUAACUGAGACAUAUUUAUCAUUUGUCAAUAUUUUGUUAAAUGAAUUUUCAGCCAAAAUAACGUGAUUUUAAUUUUACUUAAGUCAUGUGGACUACGAGCGAGCAUGGUUUCAAGGUAAAACCUGAAACCUAAGAAUUAGACUGGUGGGUUCAGGUUUCAGGAUCUAAAAUAUGCAGGGUAGGUUUCGAGUUGUAAAAAUUAAAUAUCUCAUUUUGACAGGUAGGUUCCAAGUUCUCAAUUAGCGAAACUUGAAACCUAGAACUUGGAACAAUUUUUUGUAUUUUUCUUGAUUUAUGUCUUUGCGCGAUCCUGCGAUAUCCUAUAAUGUUCGAUAAUAAGUGUAUAAUUUGGAACUACUAUAUGAGUUUUCAUUUUAUGAUUGAGAUUUUUACUUUUUUAGUAUUUGACUUUUUUUGAGUGUCUAAAUAUAAGUUAUUGCCAGUGAAUUGUAGUAGUAAGUAAUGGUUAUUAAAGAUGAUAAUUCACUAUAAUUGUUUAAUUGAUAAUAUAGGUGGAAUCUAAGCAGACUCUAGAAUUGAUUUUAACUUGUAACAUGGUAGAUUCCAAAUUUUUGGGUAUAUAAAGUAUGUUCUAGAUUCUAAAAAAAUACACAACCAGUAGGUUUUAGAUUUCAGGUUGAAUUUGUAUGGAAUUUAGAACCACUUACCCUUAAGAUAGGCACCAUUAAUGUUUAUUUUUUGACGUCUCUAUAGGUAGUUUUUAAUGGUUUUAUUGACAGAAUUUUGGAAAAAGGUAAAUGUAUCACAAAUUUAUAAUUUGAGAUUUUUGGUGUCAUAGAAAAAAAUUUAAACUAAAUAUGUCUGCAUAUAAUUUAAGAUUAUUAUUAUUUUUUUUAGCUUUUUACCUUUCCCAAAAUGAAAAGUCCACGGCCACGACCACGACCCGGGCGGAAGGCACCAGUAGACUCAAGAUAGCGUAGCGAUGGCAUCCCGCAAAAAAUGAGUCGUCUCUCCAUGCGCCACGUUGCAAGAAUUCGCCGAAAGUGAACCUUGACCAAACAACGGUCGAGGAAUCAACCGUCCUCGUACACUGAUCUGGCUGUAGAAGCGACGACACUCGAGUUCUUGUUUCCUACGUACUGUCUGAAGAAGCAAUGACACUUUGGACUCGAGUUCUAGCUUCCUACGUAAACCCGAUCAAAGGCCCCAGAAGAAAGGGCUUCUUCCUCCUCCCGUAAUCUCAAGCCACCCACUUCCGCUUUCACAUUCUGUUCCGAGCCGCCUCUCAUGGCGGGCGAAGGCAAAAUCGCCUGUCUCAUCAUCUUUUUCCUCUGUCUCCGCCCAUCUUCGGAGGCACAAACGUGGGUCAAGUCAGGUUACUUCUACGCCGGCAGCGAAAUCCCGAUCUCGGACAUCGAUUCCUCUUUGUUCUCUCACCUCAUAUGCGCUUUUGCUUACAUCGACUCUUCGACCUAUCAGCUCUCCGUCAACUCCUCCACCGAGCAAUUCUUCACCACCUUCACGAGCACCGUGAAACGCAAGAAUCCUUCGAUCACCACUCUGCUAUCAGUGUGGGCAGCAGCGUGGGCAGGCCGAGAGGAUCCUUCAGCUUUCGUUUCGAUGCUCAGUGAGUCUUCUUCAAGAAGGUCCUUUAUCGAGUCUACCAUAGAAAAGGCAAGGCUUUAUGGGUUCAGUGGGGUUGAUCUCUGUGGGGUCUUGCGCAGUAGGAGCAUUAACGUGACCAAUUUGAGUGCCCUUUUGCGGGAGUGGAGAGAUGGAGUAGAUGCCGAAUCAAGAAAAUCUGGGAAACCUCAGUUGCUGCUAGUAAUGGCUGUGUAUAGUCAACCCAUUUUUAACUCCGUGAGUUACCCAAUUGACUCAAUUCAGAGAAAUUUGGACUGGGUUCACCUAAGUGCGUAUGAUUACCAUCUCCCCACAAGGGAAAGAUUUGCGCUCCCUCACGCAGCUUUAUUUGACCCAGCAAGCCCGAAGAACACAGACUUCUGCAUCACUUGGUUGCUGACUAGAGGAUUUCCCGCAAGAAAGCUGGUUCUGGGCUUGCCCUACCAUGGCUAUGCUUGGCAGCUCGAGGAUUCGAGCGCCGAUGCCAUUGGCUAUCCAGCAGUGGGGCCUGCUGUGACGACGGAUGGGUCAUUUGGAUACAAGGCUAUAAAAUCUUAUAUCCGAGAUUUCGGUUAUGGAGCCAGUCCUGUUUAUAAUGGUACAUAUGUGGUGAAUCUUUUCAGAAAGGGAUCGGUAUGGAUCAAUUUCGAUGGUGUGGAGGCCAUCCGAGCCAAAGUAACUUAUGCCAAGGAAAAGGGGCUCCGUGGUUACAAUGUGUUUCAGGUCAACAAUGAUCAGAACUGGGCCCUUUCUCGGACAGGUUAGGAUUAAGUUAACCUCACAGGAAUUUCUGAAGGUUUUAAAAAAUUAUUGCAUUGAAAAUGUAGAACUAAACGUAAUUCAAGGACUUAAUUGCCUUGUCAGCUCAAGAUGCCAGUGAAGAUCAGCAACACAGGCGAUGGUUCUGGCUUGUUAUGCUUAUUUCGAUUGCUGUAAUUGUUCUCCUUGUAUUUGGCCUGAUAUGCUACUUACAGAGGAGAACAUUGAAAUCAAAAGGUACGUUUUCUAUACUUUACUGGAGGAUUACUGUAAUUUUGUGGGAAUCAGGAACAUUGACUUCGGAAGAAUUAAAGUUCUAGACACAUUUUCUUGAUGUUGGUUCGCAGGUAUUUCGGGUGUAAUAAAAGGAUUUAGUAGCCGAUUAAAGACUAUGGUGUGUAAAGGUGAAAGUCUUGAGAGUGGUACUCGUAGUCUGCGAACAUUUGGUUAUGCUACCCUCAAAGCAGCAACUGAUGACUUCUCAAGUGAAAAUAAGCUUGGAGAGGGUGGAUUUGGACCUGUUUACAAGGUAAAAUAUAUGAGGCCAUUCUUAAGCUAAAGAUUAUUAUUUUCUGUAUCAUUACAAAUCCCAGGAAGUACGUGUUGGGAGAACGAACCACGAUUGAGGGCCAGAUUUGGUCCUUUUGCUCUAUAACAUGCGUUCGUUGCUGCAUAAUGCAAGCAUGGAAAAUAACUCACCCCCAAAUGUUUUUCUUAUUUUUUACGCUCAAGAAUAUGUGGUCCUUCUCAUUUAUAGUCUGAUUUAUAAUUGAGAAAGUGAAGGUAAUGGGAACUUGCUACCCGUACUAUGAGAGCAAAUCUUUUCAUAUGUUAAGCAUAGGUAUGCCGGCUUUCUCUGUAGCAGCUGCCAGUUGGUUGGUUUGUACUUGCAGUUUCAAUCAUUGAAGCUACAUGCCUCUAAAAGCAGAAAGCUUGAGAUAUUUAGAGAUGCAGCGUAGGUCUUCUUAAUGAUGGAUGCAAGCUUGUAAGUUUCAUUAUAGGAGGUUGGACUUGGAUGCCUUCUGCUCAAGUUUUGUUUUUCAUUAAUGUUCCUUGGGGUUAUGUGACUUAUGUCAUAGACAAAACACUGUCUUCCAGCAUAAACACUGAAAAUUUUUGUUAGUCUACCAUGUUCAAGUGGAAGUCAGUUGCCCUGUUCUGACCAUCAGCGUACCUGUUGCUCAGGGCAAGUUGCCCAAAGGACAGUACAUUGCAGUGAAGAGACUUUCGAAAACUUCAAACCAAGGGCUCGAGGAGUUCAAGAACGAAGUUAUGCUCACCGCCAGCCUGCAACAUGUCAACCUCGUUCGCCUUAUUGGAUUUUGUACCAACAGGGAAGAAAAGAUGCUGAUCUAUGAGUACAUGCCAAAUAAGAGCUUGGACUUCUACCUAUUUGGUUUGACAUCUUCCUUGCUUCUUAAUAUUCAUUGAGCAAAACCUGGGUGUUUUUAAGUGACAUCUAGUGUGAUACUCCAAGAGGCUUAGAUGGGUCCCCGGUUCCGCUACAAUGGCUAGGGCAGCUAGACCCUUUUUAGCAUUUGGGGUACACAAUGGUUUGCAAUGCUCUAAUUUCGCUUCCAGUUCUGAUAGUCUUUAGGUUUUGAUGAUGCAGAUCCAAUAAGGAAAUAUUCGCUGGAUUGGGUGAAACGUGUUCAUAUCAUAGAAGGCAUUACACAGGGGCUUCUUUAUCUCCAAGAAUACUCGAAUUUCACAAUAAUUCAUCGAGACUUGAAAGCCAGCAAUGUUCUGCUGGAUGAUGAAAUGAACUCCAAGAUAUCAGAUUUUGGUUUGGCGAAAAUAUUCAAGAAGGAUGACAUUGAAGCAAAUACCAGCCGAAUUGUCGGGACAUAGUAAGAGAGCUAACUACGCCCUCCUAGUUUUACCUCAUAGGUAUUCUCCUGCUAAAAGUCUGCUGCUUAAAACCAAUUUUUGUUCUUGCGUACAGCGGGUAUGUUCCACCAGAAUAUGUGAGGAAGGGCAUAUACUCGAUGAAGUACGACGUCUACAGCUUUGGGGUACUGCUGUUGCAAAUCAUCAGUGGUAGAAGGACCUCAUGUUACUACGGCCUGAAUGAAAAUUUGAAUCUUCUCGAUUAUGUAAGUAGAUUAUGUAAGUAGAGAUUAUUUGUGAUUCCAAAAUUUUCUGGGCUCAAUUUUAGGAACAUGGAUUUUGACUUUUAACCAACUGGCGUUCUUAAUUUCAGGCAUAUGAGCAGUGGAAAGACGAUAAAUGCAUGGAGUUCGUUGACCCGUCUUUGGAUGACUCUUCAUCAUCCUGUAAGCUCUUGAGAUGCAUGCAAGUGGCUCUUCUAUGCGUGCAAGAGAAGCCUGGGGACAGGCCAUCCAUGUUGGAAGUCUAUUCAAUGCUCAAGAAUGAAUCCUCAGCUGUGAACUUCCCCAAGAAGCCUGCAUUUUCAAUUACCGAGGAUGAAGAUGAGGAUGGCAAGUGCUUGCCCAAGGAAGCAAUUCAUUCAGUCAAUGAUGUAUCAAUUUCUGAAUUGUUUCCUCGCUGAUUGUACAUUGCAUAAAUCCAAUACUGUGAAUACUAAUACCAUAGAGAGAAUCUUUUGUCAACUUAUUGGGUUGCCUAGUACUUCGUUUGUCCCAGUGGCAUUUUUUUUCCAAAUUAAUUGUAAUAUUUUUUGAAAAUUGUAUAUGUUUUUUACCAUUUAGAGGCAGUUCAAGUUAGAAGUUAGGAGGGAUUGAUUUCCGAUUCAGUUCGAUCCCACCUAGGAACCGAGAACCAGAUCAGAGGGAUUGGUUUUCAGUUUCUAGAAUCGAUUCAGUUCCCAAGCGGUCCAAUGGAACUGAUUGCUUGCUCCAUUUAUUCCCAGCCUUUGCCCGAUCACACCACGAACUCAAGGCGCCGUUCUCACAAUCGGCUUGAGAUGACUGAGUCACGGGCAAAUCAGACCCCAAACCGCACGCAUCCGGCAAUAUUCUUUCUUCUAUAUAUAGGUUGAAGUGAUUGGACGAUUCAGAGACUUUUGCCUUCAGAGAACACAACUAGACCUAGAAUCAAGCAAAAGUCUCGUGAAAAUGAACCGCGAGACACGGAAAACGCGACACAAAAGAGGGCAAAAUACAGAUCAUUACCUUGAUGAGGAUCGAGAUGCAAGAAACAGAGCAAGAAAGGCGGCGAGAGUCGAGACGAUACCGCGAGAGGGAGGCGUGAAGCUCGAGCGAAAGGGAUGUGACUUAGGCAAGAGAAGGUGCCGCCGCGCUGCCAUUUGAGAGUAGAACGAGAGGUACGAGAGGGAAAGAGACGAGGCGUGAGAAGCGAGAGAGAGAGAGAGAGAGAGAGAGAGAGAGAGAGAGAGGAGAUAGAGAGAGAGGGGCGGAGGCAGCUAGGCACGACUGUGACUUAGUCUGUGAAGAAUGACUGAAGAACGAGGCACCUCAGGAGCUGCGCAAGGUAAGACGAGAUUAUUGACUAGGGUUUGAGUUUACACUCUUAACUUCACAGUGCUGCUCUUUAAGAAAUUGACACACACACACGCACAUAUAUAUAUAUUGAUUCAAUUUGGGCGGUUCGGUUCUCAUCCUAGACUGAGAACUAGAGCACAGCUCCCUAGAAUUGUCCACAAUCCGCUAGUUUGGUCAAAUUUGGGUCGUCCUAGUUCGGUCAUCCAUCUUGCUCACUACUAGUUCAAGUGUUCCUUCUUUUGUCUAGUAAACUGUUAAGGGAAAAAUACUGAAAAAAGUAUUAAACAUAAUACGUUGGUAUCAAUUCAGUUAUAAAUUUUUCAAUGGAAUCAAUUUAGUCUUAAACAUUUUCACAUUAGUAUUAAUUCAAUUCAUUUGGCUAACAUAGGUUGGAAAUCGCUGACGUGAAUGCCAGUUGUUCUACGUAGUAUGAUUAGUGCUAACGUGAAUAUUUUUAAAUAAUAUUUUAACAAAAUUUUGAAUAUUUUUUUUAUAAUUUUUGUUUUUCUUUUGUUUUUCUAUUAAUUUUUUUGUGACAGCCUUAAUUUUCAGAUUUCGUUUUCGUUUUCGAUUAAAUAAAUUGGGUCUUUCGUCGAUGCGCCAAUAGUGUUAUUCUCUGAGCUGAUCACUCAUGAGAUAACUGAACUAUUUGGGAAAGUAAUUAAGGAAUCUAAAUGCAAUGGACUUAAGAAUUCGACCAGGAACCGAUUGCUUAACCAUGUUGAUCUGCAAUGGUCAUUCGUCAAAAAUCAAUCAGAGAUUGGAGAUAAGUCGAUUCGAUAGAGAUAUGUGAUUAGUGCAUGAGUGAUUCUACCUAAUUGCAAAAUUCUUGUCGAACGGCACUAAACCGAUUUUUCUGUCAUUUCUGUACUGGUAUCCGUAUUUGAAAUCUCGAGAUUUUCACGACAAUCAAGAGAAGAUGUACAUUGUGACACCUCCACCUUCUCCUCCUCAGAAAAAGCAAGCCCUCUCUCCAUUUUAUAAGCCAAUCCUCAAAUGGGCCAAGAAACAUUCUUACCCACUUGAAGUCACAGCGGAAGCACCACCCACUUCUUCUAUAGCUAUGUUCCAAGAUACUGAUUUUCCUCCUCUUGCCAAGGAAAACUCUAAACUCUCGUUCCCCGCCUCAUAAGAGUUUAUUGAUUCCCAUGGCAGAUAUCGCCAUGUUCCCAAGAUUCCUACUCCCACUGAUGUGGAUGAACAUGGACGACAAAAGAAGACUCUUGCUGCUGAAACUGUUCUAAAUUGGCAAUGAGAGACUCUGUUGGCACAAAACAACGCCUUCAAGGCAAUUGAUUCCAAAAUUGGAAAUGUGCAACAAGAUCUUCGAAGGUAUGGUGAAAGCACCAAAAAGAUACUCGCUGAGUUCCAGAAAAGGCUUCAUGCCUUGGAAUCAGGACAACAUCUUGGGUAUUAUUAUCUUGAAAGUCCAAAACCAGAGAUAGAAAAGCUCAAGAAGCAAAUCCAACUUCUUGAAGAAGGAAGAUUCCGACCCUUUGAUCCACUGGCACCUCCUGUUAGAACCGGGUAUGUACCCCCACAACCACAGACGUCUAUUUUUGCUAACAUCCCAGAAGAUCCCUACAGAAGGGAACCAGACAUGGCAGAAAUACGAAAUCGUCUCAAAGCCAUACAGAAGGGGAAAAAGAAAGAAAAAACACCACCUCUAGAAUCAAGUUCAAUCAUCAUAAGAGAAAAGCCAGAUCAGAUGAUGUUAUCAAAUCCAACAGACAUGGCAGAAAUACGAAUCUUUUCUAAAAGAUUUGAGUACUCAGGCACCUGAUCCUGUAAUCCAACAGCCUGCCAAAAAAACAGAUUCUAUUUCCCGCUGAACAAACUUCCCUUGAUACUGAAUCAGAUUUAGUAUCCCUUUUCCUCAUCUUCAUCCUUCUCAAUUCCUACAGUUGAUACCCUAUUGUGCCAGUAACUUCAGAAAUAUUCAUGGCUGACCCUCCAGAUGAUGAAAUGGAAUCAAAUUAUUCUGACCCAGACUAUGGUCAGACAAGCAAUCCUGCUAGAAACAAUUCUACCAGGCAUGUGUCCAUGGCAUCAAAACAAUUCUUCACCAUUGAUGAUAUUCCUUAUCCAAAAUGGCCAGAAAGACUUGAAGAAUUUCAUACUUGGUUGAAUACUCAUUCCAUUACCAACCAUGAUAUAAAUGAUGUCCUUUAUAACUUUGUUACGAGGUUUACAGGAAGCCUCAAACUCUGGUGGCAAUCACUUACAGAACAAGACCAGAUUAUGUUUCUGAUGUCGCCAAAUUUCAGCCAUGCCAUCACUCUCUUAUAUCAUGUCUUUGUGGGAAAACCAGGAGAUCUCAUAGAGAUAAAAAGAAGAGAAUUUUUCGAAAGAAAAUGCUGUUCUUAUAAAAAAAAAAAAAAGCAUAUCGAUAAGCAUUAUCGAAUGAUGCUUCAGCUCUUUUACCAAAUUGGAGCAGAUCCAAAUCUGAAGCAUGUCUUUCUCACAUCCAUCCCUAAAGAGCUAUCCCAGAUGGUUGAAAGGUCUUUCUUUGGAAAACAAAAGAGAGUACAAGAUAUUCCCUUGGGAGAAAUCCAACAAGAAAUCCAUCUGUGCCUUGAAGAAUUAUGCUUAAAACGCCAGAUGGUCCGUACCUACAUCACAGAUGACAAACGCCUCGAAUCGGCUUGUUCACACCAGAAGCUAAAGAUCAAAUGCUCAAAGCAAGACUGUGAUGGUACUUGUGGCCAAUAUUCCCGGAAGAAAAAGCACUACAAGAAGUAUUCGAUAAAGAAAUCCAAACAUGGAUCCAAGCAUUUCCGGAGAAAGAAGAAAUGGCGAUACCUAUGAAAAAGAAAGGAUCGCACAGGCCAUAAGAAAUCAAAUCGUUGCUACAUUUGCAACAAGAAGGGACAUUUUGCCAAAAAUUAUCCUCAAGCCAAAAAAGGUCAGAAUCAUCUAAUUCAUCAAAUUGAGAAUGAAACAGGUAUUUCUCUUGAAAAUGAUGAUGUUGAAUCUUUAUUCUCCGCUGAUGAAGAACCAUCUGACCAAACACUUUGUAUCAUUCCCUCUUACCAAACUUCUAGUGAGAUUGAGUCAGGCUCGGAAUCUGAAGACAUUUUUCACAUAUCCCCCACAUAUUCAGAACCAAAUCUUGAUAUAUUCUCAAGCCAAACUCACUGUCCGCAUUUCCCUGUAAAAAUUCUCACUUCAAAGUUUGCCAAACCUAUCAAUGUCAUUGCCCUCAUUGAUACCGGAGCAAGCUGCUCCAUUCUAGACACUAAAAUCCUACCUGAAGAAUAUUGGACUCCCCAUAUUCGAUAUUUCAACUCCGCCUCUGGAGAUACUUUCUCCACAAAUGUCAAGACCACUCCUGUGACUAUCCAGUUCUUUCCCCAGUGCUCCAUAAAUGCAAAAAUCUUUGGAUCAAACCUUCCCAAUAAAAACCUGAUAAUUGGGUGGGACAUCAUGACUCAAAUCUCUCAACUUCGCAUCAUUCCUGGAAAAUGUCUUAGAUAUAAAGAUCAGUUCUCCGAAUUCGUCAAUAUUCAGAGACUCUUUUCCAUUCAGAUGAGUCUGUUAGAUCCAAUCAUGCAAAGGCUGCUGGAAUCUUGUGCGGAAUCCCAUUCAGAAUUCGCUCAAAAAUGUUCUCAUCCCUUAUGGGAAAAUCCAGAAUUCUUUGUUCGUCUCCCUUUAAAAAAAAAUGAAAAUAUCAACCCAACAAAGGCGAGUCAUAUGGGAAUGAAGCCAGAACACUUGGCUUUAGCUCAAAGGGAAUGCUCAGAAUUAUUGCAACAGGGCCUUAUCGAAAUCUCCAAUUCUCAAUGGGCUUGUGAAGCCUUUUAUAUCAAUAAACGAGCUGAGCAAAACAGAGGAAAAAUAAGACUGGUGAUAAAUUAUCAACCUCUCAAUCUUUUUCUCCAAGAUGAUAAAUUCCAUUUACCGUCUAGAGAUUCUCUCUUUAGCGGACUAACCAAGGCCCAUAUCUAUUCCAAAUUCGACCUCAAAGUCGGAUUUUGGCAAUUGGGUAUCCAUCCUGAAGAUAGAUCCAAGACAGGAUUCUGUAUCCCGAACCAGCACUUCCAAUGGAAAGUUCUCCCUUUUGGCCUAAAGGUAGCACCAUCCCUGUUCCAAAAGGCCAUGUGCCGUAUUUUCCAACCAAUCCUGUCAAGUGCAGCCGUAUAUAUCAACGAUAUUCUGCUCUACAGUCCUGACGAGCAGUCACACUGUCAAUUCCUUGAGCAAUUUGCAGAAAUCGUGAGAAAACAUGGCAUUAUGCUUUCUCAAAGGAAAAUGAAUAUUGCCUAGAUAGAAAUUGAAUUUCUUGGCAUGCACCUCAACAAAGGAACAUACUAUCCAGGGCCACAUAUUGCUCAAGAAUUAUUGAAGUUUCCUGAAGAUAACUUCACUACAAAACAAGUUCAGCAAUUUCUUGGGAUAAUUAAUUAUCUCAGGGUUUUUGUCCCAAACAUUGCAAAGCUCCUGAUUCCUUUGCAAUCCACGCUGAAGAAGAAUUCCCCACCUUGGGGAAAAACCCAGACUAAAGUAGUCGCUGAACUUAAGGAGAUAAUGCAAAAUCUCCCACCAUUACAAAUACCAUCAACAGGAAGAAGAAUUCUUCAAACUGACGCCAGUGAUGAAUACUGGGCAGCAGUCCUGUUCGAAGAAAUCGAUGGUAAGAGACUCCUUUGUGCUCACAAAAGUGGAAAGUUUUCUCAGGCUGAAAUGCACUACCAUUCCACUUUCAAAGAAAUUUUAGCAGUAAAAAAUGGAAUCAAAAAAUUUGAGUUUCAUCUCAUAGGCCAUCACUUCUUGGUAGAAUUAGACAUGGCAUCUUUCCCUCAGAUGACCAAGUUUAAACAGAAGCAGAUUCCAAACUCUCAGUUGCUUCGAUGGGCUGAAUGGUUUUCAAAAUACUAUUUUGAAACCAAACACAUUCUUGGAAAAAAGAAUGUGCUCGCUGACUUUUUGUCAAGACCCAAGGCACCAGCUGAAAUCAACAUGUACAUCAAGAGGCAUGUUUUCCAUAUGCUCAAUCAUGGCGUGAAAUACAAGAUUGAGAAGAUCAAAGACUUGCAAAGCUGGAAAUAUCCCCAGGAGAUUAUUCAGCAAAUCCAGAACGACAGUCUUACUGAGAACUUGGAGAACCUCAUGUGGUAAUGCCACACAGACCUAUUCAGAUUCAAUGGAGGUUCGAUUCUUCAUCCUUUUGGAUUAAAUCUAAAUUAUCCUUUCAUUCAUCCUCUUAUAUGGAAGGAAGAUGAUUUCCCUGACCAGCUCAAGAUGUUGUUAUGGUACUUAACUAAUAAGUACUUAAUAGCCAUUGAAAUCCCAACCAGAAGAUUCAUCGCCAACCUCACAAGGAUAUUCUUACUCGGAAGAAACGUUGACAAGGAAUGUGAUAGAAAUCUUUUAGAUUUUCUAAAUUGGUUCUAUCAUCCUACAUGCUGGAAACAAGACUUAGAAAGAGAACUGAGAACCAUGACACCAAAUCCUAAAGUCCACAUUAUUCUGUUUUUCAGACAUCCAUGGAAUUUCUGUAGAAAUAAUGGUAGUAUUCUCGAUGCUCCACUUGAAAUAGGAACCACAUCCUAUAAACCUCACUUGAAUAGUCGAGAUCUGUUAGAUUUUGUGAAAACGAGUACCGAGAACUUCAGAGAAUCCUAUGCCAGGAAAACAAAACCAUUCCUAAAGAUGUCUGGAAUAAUGCACCCACUACGUGGGAUCAUUAUGACCUAGCACCAGAAGCUAGCGAAGCACUCAGGCAAUACAGACAAGCUACAUCGUCCCAAGAGCAUGAAAUGACAAGCGAAGAUGACAUUGUCCAGUCUACUCAAAACCCCUACGCACGCUUUGGAGGUCCUCUGUCCCAGAAUCCCUAUGAUCAAGGAACUUCGUCCUCGUUUCAAGACAUGGACACAUCCUUUUACGCACAGCCAUCCAAUUGGCCUCAGCCAAGCAUUCCUGCUAGAACCACAAGUGAAAAUACAAACUGGGCAGAAGAUCCCAUUGGGCUCAUGAAGCAUCCUCAUCUCAAAGGCUGAACCAAAUCCUUUCACCUCAAGACCUUGAAGCCCUUCAGUAGAAAUAUGAAGCACAUCUCCUAGAAGAUAGUUCCGAUGACUCAGUAUGUAGCUACAAUGCCCGUGACGGACGAGACCGAUGAGUCCGUACAAUUUCAUUGUAGCAAAAUCACUGUUCACUUUUACUGUAGCACAAGGCUAGGGAAGAUACUGUUCACAGUACAGUUACUGUUCAUAGUGCGCUAAUAAUUCCCUCCCGGAAGUUUUCGGUGCCUCUGUUUGUAUCUGGACCCGUGAGCUUGGUCCCUGUGUGUGUCCUUGUAACCUCUUAUUGCCUAUAUAAGGCAAGGGGUGUGUAAUGUUUCGGGCAGAGUCCCCUAAAGUAAAGUGUGUGCUUUGUGAAAAUCUCUCCAUGGCUUUCUAAAUUCCUCUUCUUCUCCAGCCUGGUAGGAUCCUCCGAGAAAUGCAGCUUGGGUAGAUUAGAAACGUCUCCAUCCUGGCAUCUCUGGGUGUCUCUAGGCUCUGAACUAAAGGGCAAGUGGUUUUCUGCUAAAAAGCUGUCCCUGUAGGGCUUGAAUGGGUUGUUCGCCCACUGUGGGAUGCAUAAAUUGAUCAUGGGUCAAUUGCACCAAAAAUUCCUAAAAGUUACCCGGUAGACUAGGUCACGCUAAAAUCGCGUCGGAUUGAAAUUAUCCGCGAAUUUGAACCUGAUUUCAUAAAUUGAAAGUUCUGUCGUGUCACGAUUCAUUUUAGGAAUGUCAACUCAUCCUUCAAAAAAAUUUCGGAGAUUUCGGGAUUUUUACGGAAAAUUGAUUCGGACGUUGCGGAAAAAUAACGGAAAUUCGGAUGGGCUAAGUUGAAGGAAAUUUGGACUUCCAAGCCGAGCAUUUGGGUGUUGAGGGCUUGCAUAAAAUUGUAUAGGAUUUUUCUUCAACAAAAUCGGACCUCAAAUUGGAGAAAUCGGAGAGGAAAUUGAAGCGUAUAUGGUGAAAUUCGUAUGCCAUUUUGGAGGCCGUAUUUUUGGUAUUAAUUUGAGCUAUUUAUGGAUUUAAUUUGCUAGAAAGAAAUAGGGGGAUAAGCCAUUAAUUAAGUGGAUAAUUUGUGUACUUUGUUUUCCCUUUUUCUUUGUUCCAAUCCCCUGGUCGAGCAAGCCAGCUGCUUCCCACCGUCGCCACUCCUUUUUCAUUUCUUUUGGUGCAAUUCCUUCCACGUCAAUCCACUCUUUCCCCUGCGUCUUCAUCUCCAUUUAUCCUCUGCAACCGAAGCCUUUUCCCCCCACCGAAUUCCCAUCUGCCCUCUCUCCUCACGCCACCGAAGCCACUCACCCCCACCAUCCUUGCCUUCUUGCCGAGUCAAUUGCCACACUCAGCGACCGCCAGCUGCCACGUUGAAGCCCAUCUUCCUCCAAGCCCACCGAAGACCCAAGGCCCACGCGUCCAGCAGCACCGAAGCAGGCCAUCCCCUUCGGUCUUCACGCCUGCAGCUCGUUCUUCUCCAAUUUGCUGCUUCACCGCCCACGAUUCCACCGAAGCUGCUCUCCCCAUCUCACGCCAUCGAAGCUUGUCCACCGAGCAGCUCCUUCGGCGUCCAUCUUCUCCAGCUGGCGUUGAUCCCGCAGUCCACCUCAGCUUGGGAAAAUUCAGCCCAACAGCCCAAGCAAGAUCAGCCGUGAAUUUCCAGCCCAGUUCGGUCUUUUCUUCAGCCCACAAGCCAGUGGAGUUCAGCCCAGUGAAUUUCGGCCCACUUGAAGCCCAGCCGCAGCAAGCCCAGUUCAGUUUUUCAGCCUUGGGUCCAGCCCAUUCAAGGCCUAUUCAGUCCAUUUGAAGUCCAGCCCAAAUCAAUAACAAAUCUCAAUUUGGGCUGAGAUUUGUUGGGCCAAUUUUAGGCCCGAUCCAAGCCCAUUGACGCCACCGCAAACUUGAGUUUCAGCUGCCGUCACACCGUCGUCGCAGUGAACCGGUUUCAGCAAUAAACCGAUGAGUUUAUGCACUAAACUCUUCUUAGUAGGCUAAUGACGUUUAAGGGGUGUUUAGUUCAAUUUAAUUAGGAAUUAGGUGGUUAGUUAAAUUAAAUUAGUGAUUUGAUUAUGCAAUUAUGCAUGUUAGGUGGUUAUAUUAGAUUAAGUGAGGCCUAGCUAGAAGGGUUCGGGAAUUUUCCGGGCCCGUUUCGGUGUUUAAUUUAAUGAUUUUGGCCUAGGUUGGUAUUUUUAGAAUUCAAAUUGAAUUAUUUAAUUAAUUUUUAAAAUUAAUUAAUUAUUAAUUAUUUUUCCGAAAAUUAGACUGGGAUAGUCGGUGACCGAAAUUUCGUGCUGAUUGUAAAUUUGAGUAUUUAAUCCAAAGAAUUUGUGAAUUUCCAAUAUUAUUUAGAAAACCUCGGGUGUAGGAUUUUGACACUGAAAAUAAUUUUAUAUAUUAUAUAAAAUAGUUGGAUUUUAAAUUGGGAGAUAUCAAUUUUUUUUUAUUCAAGUUGACCGUGUACUCACACACAACUAUUUUACUAUGUAUUUCUAAUACAAAGAAAAAGGCCAGGUUCACCAUUGUAAUUUAGGUAUUUGAGUGCAAUGCACGGUACCCUGAGCCAUAAUUGAGUGAUCGUGUGUUGGUUAAGAAAACCCAUCCUAGGUUGUUACAGGGUAACAGGAAGCCGGUCGUAGUAGAUUCUAGACCCUAUGCUCCUUCGGGAAAGUCGUCUAAUGGAGACAUGCUGUGCUCAAUGGAGUGAGACGAUGCCUGGCUAUGCCAAAAGACCACCGAACUGAGAGUAAGCCGUGCCAUAUGUCGAGAUCAAACUAGGAAUACAUGAUAAAUUGAGUUGAAUGUGUCGAAUUAUGAGACAAAAUUGUGUGGCGCGGUAUAGAACGUGUCAUAACGAUUUGGCCCUAUAAUCAGGACCCAUCUGCUGAUUUGAGAAUCAAGUGUAGCAUUCCAGUUGUUGGAGCUUAUUUACUACUCAUACUUUUGUGACUGCCUGAGAUGUAAAUUGUACGGACCUGCAGGGUGGAUCUAAGAUGAGGUAAGUCCCUAUAAUUGUGUGAUUGAGUGGUUAGGACACCUAUGGGCGUAUUUCCCUCCUAAUCGGGGUUUAGAGCAUGAACUCACUGAGAUUUAUAUCUCACCCCAUCGUUGGCCAAUUUUUCAAGAUAGUCGAGUGGAGGAACUGGAGUUGAGAGGAGGUGAUCUGAAGUGUAAGUUAGUUAGGACCGCUUCUUUUUGGAAAGCCAGUCUUUAUAGUCUUUUGGUCGUAGACCUUGUGCAUGACUUAGUGUGUAUAUAAAUGUGUGUUUUGUUUGUGAAUUUGUUGUCCUGCUUUUCUACCCCGAGAUGAUUACUGUUAGGGGAUUUAUUUUCGCUUCCGCAUGUGCAAUAAGACAAAAAGGGUCAAUGACUCGCCCUGAGAAAUUGCAAAAUAUUAUCAACCAGAGAGGGAUGGGCACGUGCUCGGGGUUCGGGGCGUGACAUUUUUUCUCCUUUCAUUUUGGCUGGCAUCGAUUGACUUAAAUUGAUUGAAAAUUGUUGACAUAGACGCUAACCAUUUUACGUAGCAUAAUAGACAUAACAUAAAUUCUUAUUUUUUAAUUUAGUCAAAAUGACUUGGUGACUCGCAUGAUCUGAUCGUUGAGAUGUAGUGGGUUCAUGCUCCAAUAAAAAAAGUUUUUGAAAGAUAAAGUCAACAUACGAUUUUAGAGAAUAGCACAUGUACCCCAAGCAAGUAUUUUACGUGGCUAGUACAUAUAUUACUUAAAAUUGAAUCGGGAUUGUCAGGUUUGGAGAACCCACAUGGGAGCCACCCUUUUCAAUGGUCCAAACUAAAUUUAGAAUAUGAACUCACCCCCGUAAACUAAUUUCUCUUUGCAGCCCAUGUGUGUAUACAUAUAUAAAGGUUCGAAUCACUUAGAUCUAUCGUGAAAGAGAGUGCGGGAAAGAAUUUCCUUCUUAAUGGACUCGGUCAUUCGAGCACAAGAAAAGACCUUAUUCGCAUGAAAGUGCUUAGUCACGAUCAUUAUCCUCAUUUCCCUAAACCUGAUGUUCUAAACUAGAGUUAGGUAAGGUCAAAACUCUAGAAUUAAUACGAAACUUAAGCUACAACAUGCGCAUGUGGUCCAAUAAAUCCUAUUUAAAGCCAACUAAAAAAUGUCUAGUCUCAUCCUAUAAGCUUGUCAGGAGAUGCUCCUUAUUCGAGCAUUCCAGUCAUAGCAAACACUCUCCACCCUUGUCAGACCGAAUUGUUACAGGCUCAUAAGCUUCCGCAUGGUUCAUCUCCUAACCACACACCUAUUGGAAGAGGUCUUGCUUUGACAUUAUAAUUGUGACACCCUAAAGUUAAUUCACUUGAGAUAUUGUUGUUGGUUUAUGCAUGUAAAUGGAUGUGAAAAAUGUCUUUCCAAUUUGUUAUAUUAAAGAGAAAGUGUUCAUACAGCAACCAUAAUGAUUUGAAGAACCUAAUAAGAUCAGUUGUGUUUAUUAACUCGAGAAAUCUCUUUAUGGACUCAAGCAAGUUCCCAAGAGCCUGGCAUGAAAGGUUGUAUACUUUUCUUGUUGAAAAAUAUUUUGAAUAAGAAAAAGUUGAUACAACUUCAUUAUGCAAAAGAAAGAUCAUAUUCAGCUUUUAGAUAUAUAUUGAUGAUAUCAUCUUUGGAUCUAUUAAUAAGUUAUUUGCAAAGAAUUUGCUAAUAUCAUGCAAAACAAGUUUGAAAUAAGGACGAUGGGGAAACUAAACUUCUUUCUUGAACUACGACUCAAACAAACCAAAGUUUUUUUUUUUUUUUUUUUUGGUAAAAGGUAAGUAGUAAAAACAAACCAAAGUUGGCACUUUCACAUUUCAAGAAAAGAAACGCUUGAGAAUUAGUGAAGAAUUUUGGGAUGGAAACAUGAGAAUUGAUACACCAUUGCCUUCAUCAACCAAAUUUGACAAGGAUGAGAAAUGUAAGUUUGUCAAUCCUAAGCUAUAUAAGAGAAUGAUAGGAUCAUUAUUGUACUUGAUAGCAUUUAGAACUGAUAUUUUGUUUUGCUUAUGUAUGUUCGCUCGUUUCUAAUCUAAUCUUAAGGAAUUGCAUUUGACUGUUGUACAGGGUAUCUUAACAACUCAUAGUUCACAAAAUUGACAAAAAGAGCACCUCUGGCAAUUCUCAAAUAAUGAAUUGCUGCUCGUUUUGUGAUUUUCAAAGAAGUGAAAUUCAAUAACCCUUGCAAUUGCUGAAGCUGAGUAUGUGGCUCUAGAUAGCUGCUGUAACUUUUGCAAAUGAAGCAGCAACUAAGGAAUUUUGGUGAGGAACAAUCGAACAUAUGCAUUAUGUGUGAUAGCACCAACGUGAUUAAUUUGACUGAGAAUCCAAUCAUGCAUUUGAGGGCUAAGCAUAUUUCAAUCCGUCAAUGUAUAUAGCUUUUAUUUCUAUUUACACUACUGACAUCUACAUAUUACGUAUGCUGUAGCUCCUCAAUCCACUCGAAUUUCUCAGUCAUGCUAUCGUCGAUCCGAAAUACGUCUAAUGUCAUCAGCCAUCAGAGCUUCAAGUCUGUGUAAGAAUAUGAACAAAGGGAAUCCGACAGAAGAGAUUCAAGAUUGCAUAUCCAAUGCCGUCCAAUACCUCGAAAGCGUACAAAUGACAGAUGAAUCAUGGUACAUAUGCUCAUCUUCUCUUAUGGUUAAUCAGCAUGGAUAAUUCAAGACAAGCAGGCAAGAUGACCCGAGCAUACGUGCAGGUAUGAACAACGGGAAGUUUGUUUUACACAUUCCACGAGGUUUGCGCUCGCGGCACUUGCAGCCGCCGGCAAAAAGCUACGAGAAUCAUGCUGCUACUCGAAAAGGCGAAGCUUUUCUCCUUUGGACACAACCAGAGGAUGGUGAUGGGGGGAGAGCUACCUUUCUGUCGGCACAAGUUUGUAGGUCUCGAUCAAUCAUUUUGAGUCACGUUGCUAACAAGAACCGAGAUACCCUUUUUAGCAAAAUUGCUCCUUCGACUCCUGGCACAGUCUCCAUAGAGAAACGAUACGUGUCCCGUAUCAUAGACACUUGCCAUUAUUUGCUCAACCAAGAGGAUAAUCUAACGGACGAUGAUGCGCCGUCAGCUCCGGCGUUGACCAAGAAAAUCGAACGAACUCUUCACAAAUUAACGUGCGAAACUUGCAUGUUACAUCAAAACACACGGGAUCGUGUUGAUCGAAUCUUACACGUAAGCGGACCGAAUGGAGUAGCGAUCUGGUUUUUUGCAUUCAUUAACGUUGACUUCCACUUCGGCGAGUUCUGUCUAACCAUUUCGCUAUUUACCUUGUGGGCUGCUGCAUCUUGCGGUUCCUUUAAUUAUCAUCGCUUUCCGCGCCUGAAGGACGGUUGACCAUUGAAAAAUUAACUAAUAUAACUCAGUUCCACACUCAUCAUAGACGACAAAUUUGACUACCAUUUUCGGAUCGCUUUAUUUCGGCCACCUAAUUUUGUGAAUUUCUUGUGAGACUCGCAUGAUAUGAUGGUGGGGAUGGUCAGCUCCAUUAGCAUCAUAGUUGACAAAUUUCACUGCCAUUUUUAGACUCUUUCAUCUCGCUCACUUAAUCACGUGAAUUUCGCAUGAACUUGCAUGAUCUGAUGGUUCGGAUGGAGUGAGUUCACAUGCAUUUGGUGCAUGCAAUGCUCCUUCCGUUAGAAAGAGUCUUGGAAAGGAAAAAUCAACAUACGAGUCUGCCCCAUUAUGUAAUAUUAGAUAUUGGAUUGGACUGUUUGAACCAUCAAAUCUAAAGAAUACCACAUGUAGCCAAGCAAGUAUUUUAUAGGCUAGUACAUACAUUAAUUAUAAUUGAACUGGGAUAGUCAAAUUUGGAGGAGCCUUAUGGGACUUACCAUUUUCAAUCGUCCAAAUUCAAUAUAGAAUAUGAACUAACACUCAUACAUUAAUUUCACUUUGCAGCCCAUGUGUGUAUAUAUAUAAUGGUUCAAAUCACAUAUUUAAAGAGAACAAUUUCACUAAAAGAAUAAAAUAAAAAGGAAAGAAAAAGAAAACAGUAAGUAAGUAAAUAAAUAAAUAAAAACUACCUAAUUUUCCCUUUUCCUUCCAAGCUUCGUGUUCGUGGCAAGUCACCAAAGCAGAGGAUCGGAGGUCCGGCAGGGGACACGAAACUUAAGCCACAGCCUGUGCAUAGAGUCCAACAAAUCCUCUAUAAAACCAGCUCAAACAUGUACAACCUCCUCCACAUUACUCAUCAAAAAUGGCUUCCAGCAACAAUCAUAUCCUUCUCUUUCUCUUCUUCUCCUUUCUGUCUCUCCUCCAAAUUAACUCAUGCAUGGCCCAAAACGUCAAAGGAGGCUAUUGGUUCCCGAACAGCGGCAUCACAGCCUCCAACAUCAAUUCGACCCUCUUCACUCAUCUCUUCUGCGCGUUCGCUGACCUCGAUGCAUCGACAAACCAGGUAGUCAUAUCGUCGACGAACGCCCAGACUUUCGCAGCCUUCACUAGUGACGUCCAGCAGAAGAACCCAUCGGUCGAAACCCUCCUGUCCAUUGGCGGUGGCAGCUCGAAUGCGACUGCCUUUGCGGCCAUGGCGAGCCAGUCUAGCUCCCGAAAGAGUUUCAUCGAUUCCUCCAUAGCCCUCGCUCGGUCCAACGGCUUUCAUGGCCUUGAUCUUGAUUGGGAAUACCCGGACACUGAUGAGAAGAUGACCAACUUGGGGUUGCUCCUCCAGGAGUGGCGGACCAUGGCGGCUGCUGAGGCGGCCAGCUCGGGCAAGGAUGCUUUGCUUUUGUCGGCGGCAGUCUAUUACUCGCCGCACUACUGGUCCCAUGCGGAUUAUCCUGUGGCUGCCAUGGCGGCGAGCUUGGAUUGGAUCAAUGCAAUGUCCUAUGAUUUCUUUGGACCCGGUUGGUCCUCCACCACAGGACCACUUGCUGCUCUCUAUGAUCCAGGUAGGGUGGCAACUUUGACUUGUUUUUUUGGGUAAUAAACUUUAACUAUUCUGAGGCACAACGGAGUUUUCUUAAUUUUUUGUAUCGUGACUUUGAAUUUUGUUACCUCAAUGUCAAAAGAAUCACAGCAUGGUCUCCCAUUCAAAGCAUACUGUGUCAUUCCACGAGUAAUUAACAUGAACAUUUUUGUUCAUUUAAUAUCCUUCACUUGUGCUUAUCAAACUCGCAAUUUUCUUGAUAUAUGCUGCAUCUGAAAUCAUCGGUCCUUUUUAAUUUCAGGGAACGGCAUAAGUGGAGACAUCGGGGUGAGAGCAUGGAUUCAGGCCGGCAUGCCAGCGGAGCAAAUUGUGCUCGGCUUCCCCUUCUAUGGGCACGCAUUCGUCCUCUCAAAUGCCAACGAUCACAGCUACUUCGCACCCUUCACUGGGCCGGCAAUAUCCUCCGAUGGGACAAUCGUGUACAAUAAUAUCAAGAAAUACAUAUCCCAAAACAGCGCGACCACGGUAUACAACUCCACGGUUGUGUCCGCCUACUGCUAUUCCGGGACAACAUGGAUCAGCUACGAUGAUACACAAACCAUCUCUACCAAGGUCGUGUACGCCGGGGAAAAAGGACUUAAAGGUUACUUUGCAUGGCACGUUGCUGGUGAUGACGACUGGGUUCUCUCUCAAACAGGUGAAUUUACGAGAUUCGUGCUAUACACCAUAUGCAAAGUCUAGCCCUAAUCACAGUUACAUAGAGUAUAAUCAACCGAACCUAAGCGAAAAUCUAAUAAUGUUCUUGUCUUUUUAGAUCAAAUCUAAUAAUGUUCUUGUCUUUUUAGAUCAAAUCUAAUAAUGUUCUUGUCUUUUUAGAUCAAACUUGUAUUACAUACUUUGUCAUUUAGGGAAAAAUAUUUUCUUUGUUUUCUUUAAUGAAGUACAAGAGCGCGAAGGAAAAAGCAAUAUCUACCUAACCUCUCUGUGAACAAGGGAUAGUAAUGGAUAUAGAUGUUAAGCUCUAAAAAUAAGUGCAUGCUUCAGACCGACGCCAUUUUAUUUAAUUUAUAUUGGUCACGUGGCUUAGAUCAUUUUCUCCGAAGAGAUGGUUGCAUUAGUGAAGCCAAAAGUCUAUUACGUCAAUACAUGGUCAACUCAGUAUUUGUUUUCAAAACUUUCCAAGAUUCGGUUCUACUUCGUCGUAUCCAUUCGUUAUUUACUCUCUUCAUGCUGUCGUUGGAGAUGAAGUCAAACUUUCUAGAUUAGUUGACCAAUUUAUUUAUCACAGCCUAAUUCUAAUUCCUUCCAAUUUUCAACUUCUUGUUGCAGCUUCAGAUGCGUGGUGACUUAGACGACGUCAGAGGAGACAUUUUCUACAGAUACUGAUUGAAGUUCAGACCAAUAAUGUAAUGGAAUUAUAGUCUCCAUCCCACAAUGUCAUGUAUUCCUUAGAGAACAAUAAAGCAAAGAUUCUUUUCUUUUUCCCCCCUUCUUUUGUUCUUCUCAUCUUAUAAGACGAAACGAUGUGGUAACUUGAGAGGAUCGAUCAAAUGUCAAAUAUGCUCUUAAAAAUCGUGUAAGAAAAAGUAGUAGUAAGGGUACGCUUUACAAAAUACAGGUUUUAUUCCUUAGAAAAGGAGAUGAGAACGGAGAUUACCACUGGAGUAGAGAUAAACAUUCCUCCUGGAAUGCUCAGUUUGUACGAAUGCUGAUUUCAAAAGGUGUACUGAUUGGGAUGAGAAAGAGGCGGAUCUAUUGUCUCCUACUUUAAUCUCAUCUAUAAUCUCCGCGGACGAAACGAAACGGCGAUGUGUAGACGUUUCAUUUUGUAUUUACCCGGCCACCUCUCCUCUCUCUUCCAUCCUCUACCCAGACCCACACCCCAUCUGCCGCAGCCUCCAUCCUGCCGUUGCCAUCGUCGACAAUCACUAUCAUAUUGCCAUCGCUAUGCUCAAUGACAGAGUUUCCUCCCUUCGUUUUCGUCUCUAUGACCGUCCCUCUCUCUCUCUCUCUCUCUCUCUCUCUCUCUCUCUCUCUCUCUCUCACACACACACACACACACACACACAAACACACACACACUUAUGCGUAAACUCAACACCGCUAUCAAGCUAAUGGCCGAUUGGUCGAGCUUAAUAUGGCGUCAAGCUCGCCCUAGAUCGUAAUUGUAACUCUAAAAGGAGCUUUAGACUUGAUCAUGGUUUUGACUGUUAGUAGAAAAAAUGUGUUUAAAAUGGAAAGGAAAAUAAUGUAUCAAAAUAAUCAGCACGGAAAACAGAAAAUGAUUUGAGAAGAAUGAUUGUUUAGAGUGCGUUUGGUAAUAUUUUUAUUUUUGAAAAUAAUUUCUGUUGAGAAAUAACUUUUUUUCAUUUUUAUUUCCUAGACGAAUUUCUAAAUAGAAUAACUUGUUUGUUACAAUUCUCAAAUUUUUUAAAGACAUGCAAAUUUUUUAUAUUUUAAUAAUUUCCUAAGAUUAUACUAAUGUUUUUGAAGUUUUUCUUUUCUUUUUUUUCCUCCCUUCUUCCUCCUCUAGUCGAUUGUCGAGCCUCGGCUGUGACAUCCGCAAUUUUGACCUAUGAGAAAUGGCCAUGGAAUCAAUGCGCCGAUAAUGGGGAUUGGCCAUGGACCAAUCUAAGGAUUGAUCAUGAACCGAUCGACCUAAUCAAGAGGACUACUAAAGGAUCAGCCAUGGCUUGAUUGAAGGAUUGACCAUGGGCUGAUCAAGGGAUCGGCAGUGCGUUGAUCCACUAAUCACGCAAGUUGACUCGAGCUAUUUGGCUGUGGAUCAAUCGCUCAACCAUAAGGGUUGGUCAUGGAUUGUAACAACCCUAACUCCAUCUCUAGAGUUUUGAGCAGUUGGGGUUAUUUUUGUGAGGUCCUAGACUUGUCGCCGUCCUAAUUCUUUUUAUCUUGUAAAUAAACACAUGUGGAAAUGUGAACAAACAAACUUCCCAAACAAAUAAUAGUUGCAAGACUAGGACAUAUAUCACACAGAAUAUAUUACUUUAUAUUACAACAGUACAUUUACAAGCUCUUCUUUCCUUUUUGUAUCACCCUAUAAGUUUUCACAUAUGACAAGGGAAUUCCUAUCUCCUCUAGCUUGACUGUAGUUCUCAAAACUGACAUAAGCCUAAAAGAUAGUAGAGUGAGUUGGGGAACUUAAUAAGUAAAAUUCCUAAUUCUCUACUAGAAAAACAUCAUAUUAUCGAAGUCUAGUAAGUACAACACUUGCAAACAGUGUUGAUGACGGAUCAAUAGUGGCAUGCCUUGACUAAAUACAUGAUGUCCAUAUAAAACUACCAUCAACUUAAAAAUGAGCACAUCAACGCAUUAUACUCAUGCAUAUACCGGCAUGCAUAAAAUGAUUCUUUUACCAUCAUCCCGACUCGACCAAGUCCUCCUAAUUCGAUUGAGCCUUCUUAGGGCUAACUUUCCAAGACUUCUUGGUUCAAGAUCCAAGCAUCUUGACUUAACUAGGGUGUCCCGUUUAAUGAAGGAGGUAUCGUGUUAAUGCUAUCUGGUGACAAAUGUUUCUUCCUCUUCAAGUGCACACAUAAGUGCGUCACACAUGCUGAUUCUUAUCUUUUCUUUUUAGCCGACUUGUACAUGAUCCGAAGGCGUGCUCACUCAUUCGUGUGUGCCAUAAAUCAUUUUAUUGCACUAUAUAACAUGUUGGGAAUGAUCCUUAAUUUGUGACUUGAAUCGAUCACUCAGCGCUGAUCGCCGCAUUGGAUAAGGCUUGGAAACGACAUACCUCAAUGUUGACCUAAGACCUUGAGACUUUGUUAUACCUUACUUCGUGAAGAUCCUAAGUUUGACAUAUCUUGGCUUCGACCCGAUAUGAAUAUACUUCAUGCUGUGAAUGACUCUUGGUUUGUGGCUUGAUUCAAACAUCAAGCACAAAGUCUUCACAUCAAUCAAGACAUAAAAUCGGCACUCUUUAAUACCUUACUAAGACCUUGUGUCACACCCCAAUCCUCGAGUGUGUGCCCAUCCCUCACUAAUCGAUUAAAUGUAACGUUCUAGGACGAGUCACCGACCCAUUCAUUUUAAUGCGCAUACGGAAGCAACAAUAUAAAUCCCCAUACAACAAUCAGAUGGGAUAGAAAAGUAUGACCAAUUUUUCAAACCAAAACAAACCUUUUAUAAACAACCAGGUUUAUUUACAAGACCAGACCAUUUACAAAAAGGUUGACUCAUUCCAAAUGGAACUGUCCUAUGACCUACUAAUCAGACAUAUUCGCCGAUUCUUCGAUCUCCACCUUCCCAGACUUCGUGGCUUUCGGUCCUCCACUAACACAAUCUAAGGACCUGAAAAUGGUUAUACAAUAACCAAUGAGACAAUGUCUCAGCAAAUUCAACCCUCUAAGACUCGAUUAGGAAGCUAAUAUGCCAUAAGGGCUGGCUAUGCACAACACGGGUCAGAGGAUUUACCUUGGUGUCAGAUUCCACCUACAAUUCAACACAGUUUGAAUAGGCACCCAAUCAAUCACCACAAAUCAAAACAUUGAUCAAUCGACCUAGUCGAUUACAUGUCAUCACGACCCUUUCUUGGUCGACUCAUCUCAUACUAUCUAUAAAGUCCACUUAUAUCAGGACUGCUUAUUGCUAAGCUGAUAAAUAGAUAGUAUAGCUUGCUUUUGAGAUGAUUUGGUACACUGCUCUCUGUUAAGCUGCCCUCUGCUAAGCUGCCAUAUUGCCCGUAGGCUGAUAUAGUAUACCGACAUUACUCAAUCUAAGCUGAUAAGAUAUAUUGCUCUCUACUAAGCUGUCAUAUCGCCCGUAGGUUGAUAUAGUACACCGAUAUACUGCUCUCUGCUAACUUGACAUAUCGCUCGUGUGUUGAUAUAGUAUACCCUUCCAAACAUGCAUCAAAAUCAAUCUUUUUAUCAUUCCCAAUAAAAAUAGCCGUGUGUAGGUACACAGUUGGGCUUAGCCAAAAUACAAUAAUUUUGCUUUAGAACAUCCCACCAGUUUCAAUAGCCUAUAAACACAUUUUUGGCGCUGUAAACCGGCGCUCGGUAAUUUUUCAGUUAAUUACCAAAAUUUAUUAAUUUAGGAAAUAAAUCCUAAAAUCACAAUUAAAUCAAUUCAGGACAAAUUAAAGCUCGAAUAAAUAAACAGACUGCACCACAGUAAUUAGCAUAAAAUUUCGGUCAUCGACUAUCCUGAUCUAAUUUCUGGAAAUAAAUAAUUAAAUAAUUAAUUACGAAAAUUAAUUAUUAAAUAGCAAUAAAUCCAACUUAGGCCCAUAAUGCCUAAUUGGACGCCGAAACGGACCCGGAAAAUUCUCGAGACUCGUUCAAUAAAUACUAUAGUCUAUUUACUUGCUAAUUGCACUAACUAACUGUUGGAGAAAACUUCCUUAUUUGUUUUGAAGUUGACAAAACGUUUCCAUCAGUCUAGUCUAAAAGACUUGCAAACUCUGUCGUCAAAAUCUGAAGACCUCUAGACUCAAGAUUUAAAGUCUGCCCUCAUUGACAGUUUCCAGACCGAAGAAAGGAAGUAUUAUCCGUUGAAGAAGACUUAUCCAGAUGCGGGUAUAUCUUUAAGGAUUUGGUUUGUGCGGUUGAAGAAGAUCUCACGACUAGAGAUUGCAUCUCGAGAUCUAUUAUUCGUAUUGAAAUUAAUUCGAGUAUGUUAGAUUCGUUGAUUGGCGAAGUAUACUUGGAAGAUUUUACUUAAGGAAACCUAGAUCCUGAUUGUAUGGGCGAGCAACAUUGGUGGGCUAUCAUCACAUUCCUUAAAUAACUUAAGAUCUUCCUAAUUGAUUCUAUCCAACGGGUUGAUUGGAAGAACUCCUUUGGAAGAUGCCAACGGUUAUAAAGGCAUGAAGGAGUAUAUAAGGAGGAUGCUCAAGUUAUUCGAAUGUGUGCGUGAAAGAAAAAUUCCAAAGUCUAAAGCUUUCAAUUCUUCAUUAUUUCAACUAUUGAAGCUUUUCUUGUAUUCAAAAAAGAGAUUAAAUACUUGUGAGACCUUGAGAAAAAGUGUAGUAGAGUCUCUACACUGUGAAAUCAAGGACGUGAGGCUGUAAAAUCUCUUUUGAUUCAUAGUGGAAUCCAGCCGGUGGGCUGUUAGUGCGGGAGAGUGGACGUAGGCUUGGUCUAAGCUGAACCACUAUAAACUUUGUGUCUCAAUUCUCUUUCCCUUAUCACCUUACUUUAAAAUUGCAACUUUAUACUUCUGCCUUUAGUUCUUUACACCUUCAGCUUAUUACGCUUAAAAAUUAAUUUUGUUAAAAGAUUCACAAAAAUUUCUUUGAUCACCUAUUCACACCCUUCUAGGUGUUCAUACUAGCUAUAUCAAUUGUUAUCAAAGCGAGUGUGCUCAUUUGUUUGAAGUGUUUUUACUUCUGAGUUAAAGAUCCAUGGCUAGUAUGUUGGCUCCAAGUUUGGUUGUGGGCUAAAGCAACACCAGACCACCUUAUUUCGAUGGAAAUAAAUACAACAUAUGGAUAAACAAGAUAAAGACAUUCCUAAGAUUGAAAGACCCUCUAGAAUAGAAUGUGGUAGAAAAAGGAAUCAUUCCUAAAACUACAUCAGUCUCAGAGAGGGGAAAAGAAGUUGCAGUGGCUAGCGAGAUGACUCAAGAAGAAAUAACUAAGAGACAAGCCCUUGAUGCAUAAGCAAUUUACUCUUUAUAUUGUGCAUUGUCUCCUACUGAGUAUAACAGAAUAUCUUCCUGUGAAACAGCCAAAGAAGUCUAGGACAGGUUGCACAUUACCUAUGAAGGAAUUGAUCGAGUAAAAGAGACAAGGAUCAAUAUUAUAUUCGGACAGUAUGAAGCCUUCAAGAUGAAGCCAGGAUAAUCUAUUACUGACAUGUUUCGUCGUUUUACAGAAAUUGUAAAUGGUCUAGAAUAUCAUGGAGAACCAAUCUCAGGACACAUGAAGGUUAACAAGUUGCUGCGUGGACUCUCUAAAGACUGGAAUCACGUAAAGACCUCGAUAAGGGAAACACAAAGGAUCAUGCCACUUUAUGUAAACGAAUUUGUUGGCACACUUCAAUCCUAUGAAGUGGAGCAAAUCAAUGAAGAAGAAGAUCUCAAAGGUAAGAAAUCAAUUGCUUUGAGAUCUAAUGAUGAUUUUAAUAUUACAAACUUUGAAGAUGACAUGGAUGAUGAAGAGAUAGCCCUUAUGAUAAAAAGGUUCAGGAAACUGAACAAAAAGGGAAAAAGAUUCAAUUGGAAGAAACAAAGCACUCAAAAGUUUCAAAACAAAUCAACUGAGGAUGAUGAAUCCAAUAAAGAUAUGAUCUGUUUUGAAUGCAAGAAAAAUAGACACAUCAGACCCAACUGUCCCAUGUUGAAGAAAAAGAAAGGAAAAGCUGAGAAAUACAGGAAGGCUCUCAAGGCAGAGACAUGGAAUGAUACUGAAUGUGAAGAAAUUGACGAAGAUUAUGCCAAUAUAUGUCUAAUGGCAAAAUCAGAAUCAGACUCAAACUCCGAAAUAGAUACAGACUCAGACUCAGAUAGUAAAAUUGAGGUAAGUAAUUUUAAAAUCCCUACUAAAGUCUCUAAAUAUAUUGAUGAACUGUGUCUUAGUCUCAAAACUUCUCUCAAGAGGAUUUCCGAGUUACAAAGGGAGAAUUUUGCACUGAAACAACAAGAAAUUUUAUGGAAAGAAAAGUUUGAAAAUUUAGAUAAAAGCUUUGUUACAUUAAAAGAAAAUGCAGACUCUCUUUCCAAAGAAAAUAAGUUUUUGAAAAAUGAAAUUUCAAAUAUUUCAAAGAGAUUUUCUAUAGGAUCUGAGAAAUUGUAAAAGAUUCUUUCAGUAUAAAAACCUUACUUUAACAAAUCAGGUUUGGGAAUGACUUAUGAAAUUAUUCCUCUAAUUGAUUUUCCAAAAGUAAAAGAAAGAAUUAAAUAAAGGCCUACAAAAACUUUUUACAUAAAUCAUUUUUAAAAAGUUUUUGUAAAACCUGUUAGUCGAAGUGCUCUCAAAUAUUCUAAGUGCAAUAGCUCUAAACACUUUGAAAAAGAAUGUCCUAUGGCUUGGAGACUUGUUAAGAAGGAAUGGGUAAAUACUGCUUAUGGCACUAACUCAUCUGGACCCAAGAAAAUGUGGGUACCAAAGAAAGCUUGAGUUUCUUUUUUAAUUACAGGUCACUAUCAAGAAAAAUGUCAAAUGGUAUUUGGAUAGUGGCUGUUCAAGGCAUAUGACUGGAGACUCAAGUUGUUUUAUAAAGCUUAUGCAACUUAAUGAUGGAAAAGUCUCUUUUGGUGGAAACGGCAAAGAAAAAAUUGUUGGAUGUGGAACAGUAAAAAUUGGAAGUUUCACAAUCAAUAACGUUUCCUUAAUAGAAUGACUCAAUUACAACUUGCUGAGUAUCAGCUAAUUGUGCGACAGUGGAUUCGAGAUCAACUUUCAAGAAGGAAUAUGUUCGAGAACUAGUAAAGAUCUUUCACAAUCUUUUACUGGACAAAGACAUGGGAACAUCUAUCUUCUGGAUAUAAAACCAGAUAAGUCUCAAUAUCUAAUUUCAAUACAAGAUAAAGCAAACCUUUGGCAUUGAAAGCUUGGGUAUGUCAAUAUGAAGCAGAUUGCCAAGAUCUCUUCUAAGAAUCUUGUUCGAGGGCUGCCCAACUUGAAGUUUCAAAAGUCUGACUUAUGCACACCAUGUGCAUUGGGAAAACAUGUUAGAAGUUCUUUUAAACCAUUGAAUUAGGUUUCUACUAAUCACGUUUUGCAGCUUCUGCAUAUGGAUUUCUAGGACCAACUAGAACUAGAAGCAUAGGCGAAAAGAGAUACUGUCUAGUAAUUGUUGAUGACUACUCACGAUUCACCUGGGUUUACUUUCUAGCAAGUAAGUCCGAAGCUUUUUCUUACUUUUCAAAGUUUGUUAAGAAAGUUCAGAACGAGAAAUGAUAUGCUAUUUCAAGCAUACAGACUGACCAUGGAGGUGAGUUUGAAAAUCAAGACUUUGCUAAAUUCUGUGAUGAAUCUAGUUUUCAGCAUAUGUUCUCCUCUCCAUACACUCCAGAACAGAAUGGAGUUGUGGAAAUGAAAAAUAGAUCGUUGCAAGAAAUGACUAGAACACUUUUAAUAGAAAGUAAUAUUUCUUUUCGUUUUUGGGCUGAAGCAAUUUUUACAGCAUGUUAUAUCGUUAACAGAGUUUUCUUAAGGCCUAUUCUGGAGAAAACUUCCUAUGAGUUCUUCAAAGGAAAGAAGCCAAUUGUUUCCUACUUUCAUGUGUUUGGUUGCAAAUGUUUUGUAUUGAAAAAUGCAAAUGAUCAAAUCGAUAAGUUUGAAGAAAAAUCAGACGAAUGAAUCUUCCUUGGAUAUUCAACCUCCAACAAAAAGCUUACAGAGCAUACAACAAGAAGACUCAAUCUGUGGAAGAAUCGAUGAAUGUUAAAUUUCAGGAUCUUAUACAAAAUCAAUCGAUCCAGACUCAACCUAAAGAAUCUGAACUUGUUCCAGACUCUAUAAAGUCUAACUCCCCAGAAGCAGCUCAGACUUUUGAAGGUUAACAACGAACGGAUGUUGAAGAAUCAACUGAAGAAAAAGUUCAGCAGUUUAUCAGACCAACCAGCAACUGGAAGCACAAGUCCAGUCAUCCCAAAGAACUCAUCAUUGGUGACAUUGAUGAAGGGAUUCAUACAAGAUCUAAAAGACAUGAAGAGUCUAGCGGUGUGGCUUUUAUUUCUGAAAUAGAACCCAAAAGUAUAGAAUAAGCUUUAACUGAUGAAAGCUGGAUUGAAGCUAUACAAGAAGAGCUCAGGCAGUUCAGUAUUAAUGAUGUUUGGGAAUUAACUCCUAACCCAAAAGGUAAAUCUAUUAUUGGAGCUAAAUGGGUUUUAAAGAAUAAGAUGGAUGAAAAAGGAAAAGUUGUAAGGAACAAAGCAAGACUCAUGGCCAAAGGAUAUACGCAAGAAUAAGUGAUAGACUAUGAUGAGAUUUACGCACCAGUAGUAAGGUUAGAAGUAAUUAGAUUAUUACUUGCUUUUGCUUGUUAUAAGAAUUUCAAGUUAUUCCAAAUGAAUGUCAAAAGUGCAUUUCUGAAUGGAUUUAUCUAAGAAGAAGUCUAUGUGGAACAAUCUCCCGGUUUCAAAGACCCAAAGAGACUAGACUCAGUAUUUAGACUAAAAAAUGCUCUCUAUGGUUUAAAACAAGCACCUCGAGCUUGGUAUGACAGGUUAAAAAAGUUUUUAAUGAAAAAUGGUUUUGUCAAAGGAAAAAUGGAUACUACAUUGUUUAAUAAAAGGGAAGGUAAAAACUUUUUACUUGUUCAAAUUUAUGUUGAUGAUAUUGUAUUCGAAUCAUCUAAUGAAAACAUGUGCAAGAAAUUUUAUAAGCCUAUGCAGGAUGAAUUUGAGAUGAGCAUGAUGGAUGAAUUAUCCUUCUUUCUCGGAUUACAAGUAAAACAAUUGAAGAAAUGAAUCUUCAUUCAUCAAGAGAAAUAUAUAAAAGAACUUAUUAAAAAGUUUGGAUUGGAGAAUUGCAAAAAGACUGAGAUACCAAUGUCUAGUUCUUCGAAUUUGGAUAAAGAUGAAGAAGGAAAGAAAGUUGAUCAAAACUUUAUAGGAGUAUUAUUAGUUCACUUCUUUAUCUUACUACUUCUAGACCUAACAUUUUGUUCAAUGUUUGUAUUUGUGCUAGAUUUCAAUCUGAUCCAAAAGAGUCUCAUCUAAGCGCCGCAAAACGCAUCAUCAAAUACAUUGCAACUACUUCAAAUAUGGGUCUAUGGUAUCCUAAAGAAUGAGACUUUACCCUCCUUGGGUAUCCAAACGCAGACUUAGCAGGUUGCCGAGUGGAUAGAAAGAGCACAUCUAGUACAUGCCAAGUGCUGGGAAACAGGUUGGUAUCUUGGUUCUCAAGAAAGCAAAGCAUUGUAGCUCUUUCAACAGCAUAAGCAGAAUAUGUGGCUCUUGGAAGUUGUUGCUCUCAAAUCCUAUGGGUAAAACAAUAACUGAGAGACUUUGGAAUUAAAGAUUCGUGUACCAAGAUCAAAUGUGACAACACCAGUGCAAUUAAACUCACAAGGAAUCCAAUUCUUCAUUCAAGAGCAAAACAUAUAGAAAUUCGAUAUCACUUUAUUAGAGAUCAUGUUCAAAAUGGAGAAGUUAUGAUUCAAUUCAUUGACUCAAAGAAUCAACUGGCGGACAUAUUUACAAAGCCUAUUUGAGUCUAUUCGCACCAGAUUGAACAUCACAUCUCUUAUCCAGUAAAGUCUGGACGUGCUCAAGACUCAAAGAUAAAGUCUGAAGAUAUUCAGACUCAAAAGACCAAGAGUUACGACUGUAAGUUGCUCUUUUUUCAAUAUUUUAAACUUGAAAAGGUACGGUUAUUUAUUAAUUGCUAAUUGAAAUUAUCUUUCCAAGUUUCUCUUUUUCAAAAAGGAAGUUAUCAAUUUUGAAAAGACAGUUUUUUUCAAAAAGGGAAGUUAUUCAUUUUUAAAAAGGUAUUUUUAUUUUCCUUUUACGAUGUUUUGUUUACCUCGCUUCACUUGCUUUAUAUACUGCCAAGACUCGUCUUCUUCGUUUUUACAUGGAAACCCUAUGAUACAAAAUUCAUAUUUGCUUUCACUUUCACUCUUGAUCUGUUAAAAAAAUUUCACCUUUUUUCAAGCAAGUUUGUGAAUUCCUACAUUGGAAGAGACAAUGUCUUCGAGAAAAUCAUCAAGGAUUACAAGCAAGGGACCAUGACAUAUGCCCAAGGGUCCUACCCACUUCGACUUGACUGAAGAAGAAGUUCCUACUCGUCAACAGCAACAAAAUCAGCAACAACCUUCUCAGCAGCGUCAAACUCCACCACCGACUCAUCUAGAAGAAGUUUUGGAAGAAGCGGAACCUAUAAGAACGUUAACUCCUAAAGUCACUUUCAAACUCUAUUCUAAUCUAAAAAGAGGAGGAACUCCUAUGACAUUGAUUGAUGAAUACUUGAAAUAGAGGGGGUAUAAGAACGAGACUCUAUUUUUGCGUGACAUGGAAAAGAUGGGUAUCGGCGAAAAGGGUUUGGCUGAAAAAGCCUUUGCUAAUUUUCCUAGUGAUCCACGAAUGGGGACUGCUGAUCAACCUCAAGGACUGGAUGAUGAUGAAAGAAUGUUCAGCCUAGAAUGGGAGUGGCUGAAAAUAUUACUGAUGGUUCUAAUCUGUUCAGAUCAAAGAACCACUAAAGGGUUUAUUUGAAUCUGCUGAAGAGAGGGGUUAUGCACCCAAGGACUGUUGAUUUUGAUUCCUUGAUUUAGUGAAAAUAAAUCUGCGAAAGAAGUUUGCUGCCCUACAGUUGGAGCACUUUUGUUCUAAAUCCACUACUACUUAUACUGAACUCACUGCAUACUUUUAUUCGAAUUUAUCGUUUGUGGAUGCAAAUAGCUUCUCUUUUACUGUGAGAGACAAGGUGUUUUUGGUGGAUAUGGAUACUUUGGCUGAUCUAAUUGGGGUGGAAAGAGGAUGUUUCCGACCAUUUAGUGUACCUCUUGCUCAUGCUACUCAGUCAUUGGUGAAAGACAAGGAUGCUGAAGGCAAGAUAUCCUAUUCUAGGAUGAAUGCUAGAGGUGUUAAAUGGGUCCACAAACCCAUUUAUAGAACCAUCUUUACUUAAAUGGGUCGUUAAUGGGUCGGCCUUAUUUCUCAAGACACUCGUUAGUGGGUUUUAAAAAUAGAAGGACUAAAUUACGUGGGUCUUAAAUGGGUCUAUUUUGUACCCAUUUAAGACCCAUUCCCCAACCCAUGAACCAGUAGGCAGUCCAGUAACCCACGAAUACGAUUCCUUUUCGCUUUCGAUUCGCCACCAGUGCGCCACCUCCACCAUCGCCCGUCGCCGCUCGCCGCCGCCCAUCGUCACCUCGUCGCCUCGUCGCCGCUCGCCACCGCCCAUCAUCACCUCAUCGUCGCUCGCCAUCGCCCCGCCGCCGCCCAUCAUCGCCUUGUCGCCACGAUCAGUCUCGCGGAUCAGCUGGACUAAAACCCUAAAAGCAGCACUCGUCUGCUCGUCGCGAACGACUCGCGGAACCAUCAUCGGAGGAUAGAGCCGCUUGGUUCAGGUAAUCCGUCUGAACACGCAUUCGUGGAUUUCAUUUAUGUUGAGCUAUCGUCGUUGAAGAGGGUGUGCAGGUAUAUAGAUGUUCUUGAUCGCGGUCUGCCUCGUGGGUUUAUGACUAGGGAGCGUUUAACUGAAAUGAUAUUUGGGUUUUGCGGGAAUCUGGAUUUGGAACAGAGCAUGGUUUAAGAGCAUUGCUGAUUAGCUAACCUUUGUGCUUAUGUUUUAUGGACAUUGUGUUUCAUGGUCGGUAUGGUAGAAAGAGAAGAUGGGUUUGUUGGGUAGGAGGACAAAAUGAUGCUGCCUACGUUUUGCCCAAUUUUAUUGAGAUAAUCUCGAGGUAGCCUUAGCGAGCAAUGCUUAGAGAUAUUGAGCAGUGUUUCUCGCUUCUGACUUGGCUUCCAUGAGUUUUGGUGUUGGACAACCAUUUGUUAUUUUAAUGAUCUGAACUUUUGUUCAUUUUCUUGAGUGGUAUUGUGCACCUAUGUCUUUAUUAUGUUUUGUGCUCUCUAAAGAAGGUGAGGAUGAAUUUGAUGACUGCUGCUUUUUUCAUUGGUCAGAUUCUUUGAUAGAUGCUAGAGACCUGGGUUUUUCAUUAACAUCCAUGUUCCAUGUAUGAAUUCAUUCUUUACCCUUUAUGUUAAAUUCAUAACAUGCAAUCCUGAACCUGUUCUAAUUUAUGUUUUCUCCAACUAAUUAGUUGACAUGUCAAGAGAUAACGAGGAUCAAGAAGAAUAUUCAACUACAGAACAAUUCGAGAGACGUAGAGUUGCAUGCUUAGUUCGUGAGGAUGAGGAAGAUAACUCUACUUGCUCUAAGCGUUCAAGAAAAUGCACUUCGAUUGUAUGGUCUGAAUUGAAAAGUUCACAGAUGGUGAUGGCAUGAAGAAGGCUAAAUGUAAGUGGUGCGAAGUAACUUAUACGGCUAGCCAUGGGACAAAAAACUUGUUGCGUCAUUUAGAUACUUGUCCCAACCGAGAGGUUAACGUUGAUGGUUCUGUAGUACAAUUUGACCAAGGUGUGUUUAGAGAUAUGCUAGCAAGAGCGAUAAUCAAACACAAUUAUACAUACUCUUUUGUGGAGCAUGAGGCUACUAAAGAGUUGUUUAGUUACCUCAACCCUAAUGUGAAGCACAUUUCAAGGCUUACAGCAAGAAGUGAUGUGGUGAACGUUUAUGAAAAAGAGAAGGGAAUUUUGAAAUCCAAAUUAUUGUCUCUUUCGAGCCGAAUAUGUUUGACUUCUGACCUAUGGACUUCUGUUACUACGGAUCAUUAUAUGACUGUCACUGCUCAUUAUAUUGAUGAGGAUUGGGAAUUGCAUUCAAAAGUCUUGUGUUUCUCCUAUGUGCCACCUCCAUAUAGUGGUCCCAUACUUUUAGAAAAAUUGCUGACUUUAUUAAGAGAAUGGGGUAUUGAGAGAAAGAUUUUCAGCAUUACUUUAGAUAAUGCAUCAUACAAUGACAGUAUGGUUGAUAUUUGGAAAAAUACACCUUCUGUGAGAUCCUCUUUGUUAUGUGAUGGACAGUUUUUUCAUGUGCGUUGUGGUGCACAUGUUUUGAAUCUUAUUGUACAGGAAGGUUUAAAGGUUAUUGAUGGAUCCUUACAUAAUAUUAGAGAAGCUGUCAAGUAUGUGAGGGCUACACAAGGGAGGAGAGUAAAAUUCGCCGAAUGUAUAUCACAGUCGUGCUUAAAGACCAGUAAAAAGGUACGCCAAGAUGUGGCUACAAGAUGGAAUUCUACAUACCUAAUGCUUGAGGGUGCCAUUUUAUUUGAAUGUGCAUUUUCACAUUUGAAGUUAAUUGACCAUAACUUUGCCACAUGUCCAUCUUCUGAAGAUUGGGUUAGAGGAAAGAAAAUUGCUUUCUUGUUGAAACCCUUUUAUGAUAUUUCUACUCUAUUCUCUGGAGUCAGAUAUCCCACGGCGAAUUUAUAUUUUUAUGGAGUAUGGCAGAUUCAGCUUCGUUUAAUACAAGCAAGGAAUACUGAGGAUGAGGCUAUUAGUUCUAUGGCUAAGGCAAUGCUCAAAAAAUUUGAAAAAUAUUGGAAGUGUUAUAGUGUUGUCUUAUCAUUUGCUGUUAUAUUAGAUCCUCGUUAUAAGUUACACUUGUUAGAGUUUUGUUACUCAAAGUUGGACAUGGAUGAUCAUGUGGAAUUUGUACGGGGCAUUCGAGAAAAACUCUAUACACUUUUUGAUGAAUAUGUGACCGAUGAUCGUUUUACUUCUUCAACUAGUCGAGGUAACAUAUCAGUUGAGGGCAUCGAUGAGAGCACUGGGGAUGACAUUGAUGAGUAUGAUGCAUUUGAGAGUGAACACUUUGGAUCACAAUCUGUUAAGUCACAAUUGGAUUUGUAUUUGGAGGAGAAUAGGCUUGAUAGAAAGAAGUUCCCAGAUCUCAAUGUCCUUGAUUAUUGGAAGACUCAUUCUCAUCGGUAUCCCGAGUUAUCCCUCAUGGCACGUGAUAUAUUGAGCAUUCCUAUCACUACCGUUGCCUCAGAAUCAGCCUUCAGCAUUGGAGGACGCAUUUUAAAUAAAUGGCGUAGCUCCCUUUCCCCUGAAAGCGUAGAGGCUGAGUUGUGCACUAGAAAUUGGUUAUUUGGAGUUCCGCUUGAGGAAGAUUUAGAUGAGGAGUCUCUCAUCAUUGACUUUCAAGACUAUUUGCAUUAGGUACUUUUUUUCAUCUCAUUCUUUUUGUUUGCUCAUGUGAUUUAAUACACUUGUCUUCAUAAUGAUGUAUUCUUGGUAUACUUUGUGGUGCUACAACUUCUAAUCAAAGUUGAUGCUUUUCCUUUUCAGGUUCUAGACUAGUUGUUGGGUCAUAAUGACUCUAAAUUUUUUUCUCAAUUGCACACUAGAUUAUAUUUCUCAGUUGUGGUGCCUAUUGGCUGUGCUCCCUAUACUGGUUGAGCUCAGUCAGGAUAGCUCCAGUUUUGACAAAUGGAGUUUUUUUUUUUUGUAAGUUUGUUAGGGUGAUCUACUAUCAGCUCAAGUAUGGACUUCAAAAGGACUCUGCAGACAAUAGGAGUACAGAGCUGGGAACCUCAGCACUAUUGGAUGAUUCAUGGUUUUCUACCGAUAGCUUUUUGCAUCAACUUUGCAAGGUAAUGGGAUAAGGUGAUAAUCAUCAUGUAGUUUUAACUACUUUUCCAUGUUGUGUUUAAAUAUAUUAUACCUACAAUUGUAUUGAGUCUGUAAAUUCAUGUUGACUCCUUAUGGGUUCAUGAGACUGAGCUGUCUUAUCAGUUGUCUUCUGACUAAAUUGAGUCAUUUGUUAAUCCAAAUUCAUGUUUAAAACUUGUGACAGCUUAUUUUGUUUCCCAAUUUUAGGAUUUCUUUUCAUUGGUGCUAGUUGCCCCAGUUGUUGAUGGAGAACUUCUAUCUUGGGUUGGUUUUCUGAGCCUUGGCAUUAUCUGCCAUUUGCCAUUGCACUUCUAAUGACGAUAGACAAGAAUUGCGAUUUCUUUUAAAAUGCAAUGAAAUGAUAUUAUUGUUGUGGAGAUCACUUGGUGAUAAAUUUGCAAUUACGUCUUAUUUAAUUGCUUCUUCUCCUGCUUCUCAUGGGAGUUGAACCAUCGAACUGGCUUCAGCUAUUUACAGUGGUGACUUUGCCCUAACUGUAAUUACACGUUUCUCUGUGGCCUUGGGGAGAAGCUCGUUGAAAGAAACUUGUUGAGUUCUGUGCGUCCUAUCUAGCAUUUGUAGAUCUCAAUUUGCAUAUUUGCUAGUCACUUACCCUUAUUUAAAUGGAUAUGAAGGAAUUACUUAGAGUGGGGUUGUUUGGCUUUGUAGACAAGGAAAUUCAAGGAACUACUUGAGAAUACUUUUGGGUGGGAGUUCCAGCAAAAUAGUGCUGUUGAUGGAGUGUAUUUCGAUGAAGAUGAUGAAGUAAGCCUCUCUCUCUCUCUCUCUCUCUCUCUCUCUCUCUCUCUCUCUCUCUCUCUCUCUCGAUAUGUGACUAAGAUUUCCUUGCUCUCUUUGCUUUUGCAGUUUGCUCCAACCAUUGAAAUGAUCGAUGACCAACAUCUGUAGUGUGGCUGUGACAGCAUGAACAUGUGCUUCAGUCUUCUGCUCUACUUCAUAAUGAAGCAUGGCGUUACAUCGAGGGGGAACUUGCAGUGAAUCGUCUCUCUAAUCAAGUUUACGAAUUUGUUAUGCUCUCGAAACCUUACCAGUUCAAGAUCAGUCCUAUGCCCUGCAAAUAGAAGCAUGUGGUUAAACCCCUGGUUCUCUUUUUCUCUUUGUAAAAGAAUGACUGGCUAUAGGAUAGGAUUUGACAGAUCGAGUCGGUAAUGGUUGAGGAAAGUGCUGUGUGACAUCUUAGAAGCUCCUGAAGACAUUUUUUUGUGGAAGUCAUGUAUAUUUGCAUUAGAUAGUUUGCCCUAGAUUUGAUGCACCAGUUGAAACAUAUGUUCUAGAGUCAUACUGCAAGGAGUCCGAGACUAUGGGCCAAAUCAUGUGUUGAAGCUGCAGCAAUUUAAUGGUAGUACAGUUACAAUAUCGCCUUUGACGGCCCAAGAAGCGAAAGCACUGACAUUUUGUUAUGGAUUUGAUGAACAAUCCGUAUCAAGUUAAUUCAGCAAUGAACUUUUCUAACUCAUGCCUUCAUUCCUUGGAAUGAAUGUAAGCAUAAGCAAAUUGCAUCAUAGAUUGUUAUCUACACGGGAAAUUGGAGGCGGUAGCAAAUCAUUUGGGCUUAAUUUCGCUAUUGACGUUGGUGAUCAAUGUGUCGUCAAUUGUAUUUGUGUCGAAGUUGAUUGAUUUUGAGACGUUUAAUACCUCCAAUUCAUAAAAUAGGUUGGCCAGCAAACCUUUGGAUUGAGAAGAAAAAAAGGAAAAGAAAGAAAAAGAAAAAAAGAAAUUUUUUUUUUUUGAAAAAGUAUAAAAAAUUGAAAAAAUAUUGAUUAGAUUUGUAUUGUUUGGAAGUAUUUUAGUAAUAUAACAUUUAAAAAAAACAUAAGAAUAAUUUUUCCUAAAUUUGGUUAAAUAUGAAAAUAUUUUAUUAAAUGGGUGUUAAAUGGGUCGGGUCGGGUAUGGGUCGGGUAUGGGUCGGGUCGGGUAUGGGUCGAAAAAUUUGCAUUAGGCAUAAAUGGGUCAUAAAUGGGUUAAUGGGUCAAUUUGGGUCGGACCAUUAAUGACCCGACCCAAACCUGACCCGACCCGACCCACCCAUUUAACACCUAUAAUGAAUGCCACCAACAUCUUGUUACACAAAAUUAUGAUCAACUGCAUUAGGCUAAAGUUGACAUCCAAGACCGAUGUGUCUCGGUCUGAAGCGAAACUGAUGCAUGCUAUCAAUUUUGGAUCAAAUUUUCUCUACCUCACACUAUUAUGUUCCAUAUGUAUAGAAAAGUUGUGAAAGAUAAGAGACAACUCCCUUAUUAUGCUCUUAUCACGCGUCUUUUUAGACAUUUUAAAAUUCACAUCCCUGCUCCAUUAAGUUUGUCAACAAUUUCUCUAAUGGUGAUUGAAUUCAAAAUGGUCAAAAAGAUGCGCUUGCAAGAGUUAAGUAAGGUAUUGGAACGUGUGGAAGAGAAGUCUCCUCUAAAAGCAAAAUAAGACUCUGCUACAGCAAAAAGGAAAGGUAAGGAGCCCAUGGCUACUCUUGUGAAGAGAAAAAGAACUCUCAUCUUGCAGGAUGAAGAGGAUGAGGAUGAGGAUGAGAUGACUCUUUCAGCCUUACGUAAUUUGAAGAGUUUUGUUAGUUUUGAAGUAGCAGAGCCAGCAGAAGAAAGAGAAGAGAUAAAGAAGGAAGAGGAUGAACAAAGGAAGAUGGAGGAAGAAAGAAGAGAAGAAGAAGAAGAAGAAGAAGAAGAAGAAAGAAGGAGAACAAGAUCAGGGUCAAGAAGACUCUUUCGAGCCAACAUUGGCUGUUUCCCUGUCAAGUGAUUAUGAGAUGGCAGGAACUGCUGACUUUCAUCACUUUGAAGCUAAAGUUGAACAAGAAAAAAACUUACCUACUCCACUUGAAGGCAACAAAAUAGGGAGAGCUAUUGGACCAAAAGGUAUUUCUUCACCUUUAUUUGCUAGUGAUGUAAGUCGUUUUGCAACAGACCUAGACGAUGUUUAUGCCUCACAUUAUCUAGAAGACAGUCGCGGUGAUCAAUCUGCUAAAGUUCCAUCCAUUCUCAAAAUCCCUGGAAUUUACUCAGCCGGUCUUAGUUCUGCAUCAGCUCAAACAGCGGACUUUUCGAGACUGCUAGAAAUUCUUUUAAACGUCAAGAAACAACAAUAUGCUCUGGGAUAUGAGAUGCAAGAUCUCAAGAAUGCUUUUAAGGCCACUUCAGUGUCUCUACACGACCAGUUACAAGCUCUGAAGACUCAAGUUCAGUCUACUAUGCAAGGUGAAGAUUUUUAGUCACUAAAGCAGAAUUUUGAAUGGCUUGAGAGGACAGUGCAUUCUAUGGGAGAAUUCGAACUUGUUUACCUUCCCAAAAAACCAUGAUUUUGACUCAUUUUUCAACCAACUUUUUUUCAUUUUUCCUCCACUUUUUGCUAUUGACAAAAAGUGGGAGAGGUUUUAUGCAGAUUUGAUGUUUUUUUUUAUUACUAUUUUGGACUUUAUCCUUUGUCUGGUGUGAUUAUGACUUGGACUAGUUUGAACUGACAAUGCUUGCAAGUAACUUAAGCUAUGUUAUUGAUAACGAUGGUUGCUCUUACAGGACUAACUUAUUUUCUGUGGUUGCAGAAUUGCUACUGUCCUCACCCUAAUCCAAUUAUCCUUUAUAAGAAAUCUUGAUUUGCUUAAGUGUUGUUUUGCAGGGCAAUGUGUCCAAAUCUGCAGGAAAGUUUUGUCACCAUCAAAAAGAGGGAGAUUGUUCGAGAAAACUUCCUUAUCUGUUUUGAAGUUGACAAAAUGUUUCCAUCAGUCUAGUCUAAAGACUUGCAGACUCUAUCGUCAAAGUCUGAAGACCUCCAGACUCAAGAUUUAAAGUCUGCCCUCAUUGAUAGUUUCCAGACCGACGAAAUGAAGUAUUAUCCAUUGAAGAAGACUUAUCCAGAUGCGAGUAUAUCUUUAAGGAUUUGGUUUGUGCAGUUGAAGAAGAUCUCACAGCUGGAGAUUGCACCUCGAGAUCUAUUAUUCGUAUUGAAAUUAAUUCGAGUAUGUUAGAUCCGUUGAUUGGCAAAAUAUACUUUGAAUGUUCUACUUAUGGAAACCUAGAUCCUGAUUAUAUGAGCGAGCAGGAUUGGUAGGCUAUCAUCACAUUCUUUAAAUAACUUGAGAUCUUCCUAAUUGAUUAUGUCGAACGGGUUGAUUGGAAGAACUCCUUUGGAAUGUGUCAACGGUUAUAAAGAUGUGAAGGAGUAUAUAAGAAGGAUGCUCAAGUUAUUCGAGUGUGUGCGUGAAAGAAAAAUUCCAAAGUCUGAAGCUUUCAGUUCUUCAUUAUUUCAACUGUUGAAGCUUUUCUUGUAUUCAAAAGAGAUAUUAAAUACUUGUAAGACCUUGAGGAAGUGUAAUAGAGUCUCUACACUAUGAAAUCAAGGACGUGAGACUGUAAAAUCUCUUUUGAUUCAUAGUGGAAUCCAGCCGGUGGGCUGUUAGUGCGGAAGAGUGGACAUAGGCUUGGUCUAAGCCAAACUACUAUAAACUUUAUGUCUUAAUUCUCUUUCCCUUAUCUCCUUACUUUAAAAUUGCAACUUUAUACUUCUUCCUUUAGUUUUGUACACCUUCAGCUUAUUACGCUUAAAAAUUAAUUUUGUUAAAGAAUCACAAAAAUUUCUUUGAUCACCUAUUCACCCCCCCUCUAAGUGUUCGUACUAGCCCUAUCACUAAUCACCUAACAUGCAUCGAUAAAGUACUAAAUUAAUUAUUCUAAUCUAAUCUAUCCAUCUAAUCACACUUAAUUAAAUCUAAUUAACCCCUAAGCAUCAUUAGUCUAUUAAGAAAGGAUUAGUGAGUUAAACUCACUUAUUCGGCGAGCCAGUCGAUUCAAAUCGAUGGGGACGCAACGGGGCUUGAUUCUUCCUAAGGUGGGCCUAGCUUUCGGGGCCAGAAAUCAGCCAAAACGAGCCUACAAGCUGCUGGAAUACCCACUGCUUUGCUCUUUAUUUUGGGCUGCAAAAGAAGAAAACAAAGGCUGGUUCGGCUUCUGCUUCUGCUUCUGCUUCUGCUUGCUGGAUAGAGGAGAACCAACUGUUGAACGACAAGGAAACGGGUUGACUGGAGCUCCGGCGAGCAAGUGGUCAGCAAUCAGUGGCUCCCGGGGGUCAAGGGGGGCUUGAUGGUGGUUGGUAUGGGUGGAGGUAGGGUCGAAAUGGGGAGAAAACGGCUGAAAGUUGCGAAACAAUGUAGGCGGGUGGCUUCCAGAUGAUCCGGCAACCGGUUUCUUCUCGCCGGCGUAUAGGACGGCCGGCGGCUCUGUUUGGUGCGAGGUCGGGCUCCUUUGAACGAUUUGGAUGUGCUGAGAACAACGGUGGGUGGCAUGAAGGCUAAUUCGUUCGAGAAGAUCACUUUUCACUCGGAUCUUUAGCGAAAGGUCGACUGGAGCAGAAACUGGCAGAAGAGAAAACAGAGGAGGAAUAAGGUCCUGCGGUGGUUCCAGCGUACGUGCGACGGCCAAGGGGGAUGAGAUGGAGUUUUCUCUAGUUCUUUGAAGCUUCAAAAGUCACUCAACCAUGGAGAAAGCAAGUGGAUUGAGGAAGAAGAAAGCUGCUACAAGAAGGGGGCUACUUGGUCACAUAUUCUCCUCAUUUGUACCCUUGACCCUAUCCCCUUUGUAUGGCUGGAUUCCACCUGUAAUUUCCAGCCUUAAUUUCCUUCUAGAAGGCCUUUGAAAUGGUCCAUAAGUUGUGGUGGUGGGGGGCAUACGAAUUUUCCUCGGUUUCCUCUCCAUUGGUUACUUAAUCUUGCUUAAUUCCACAUAAUUCGGCCUCAAUAAAUUCAAUCGACACCUCACCGAUCCAAUUGGUAUUUUUCCUCACCAAUUGAUCCCACUUACUUCCCAAUUUCGUAAUAAAAAACGAUCCCCGACAAUUUAUGGACAAAAACGACCCUAUGAUGACUUUUUCUCAAAAAGUCUCGGGUUAUAGAAAAAAUCUUUUGAGACUAAGUCAAUGUUCCUAAAAUUUAUUCUAACACGACAAAACCUUAAAUUUCUAAAAUCGGAUUCAAAUUCAUGAUUAAUUUCAAUCCGAUGCGUUUUUUGCAUGACCUAGGUUACCGGGUAGCUUUCAUAACUUUUUAGUGCAAAUAACCCGUGGUCGAUUUUUUUUCGAGCCACAAUGGGCCCCUUCGACACAUUAGCGAUUUUUGGUUGUCGUGAAAAUCCUGAGGUUUUGAAUACAUACACAUGGUACCAACAUGACAAAAAAAAUCAAACUAGCACCGAUCGAUGAGAAUUUUGCAAUUUAGUGGGAUCGCCCACAUUUAACCACUCAUCUUAGUCGAACCGACCUACUCUGAUCUCUAAUCGAUUUACGUCUGUGCCAUAAUGAUAUCGACAAAUGAACACGGUUGAGCAGCCAAUUCCUAAUCGAAUCCUCAGAUUUAUUUGCCUUAAAAUCCUUAAUGGCUUCCCCAUAUAGUCUAGUUAUCUCAUGAGUGGCUAUCUUAGAGAAAAGCACUAUAGUCGCGUUGAUGAAAGGCCCGACUUAUCUAAUUGAAAUCAGAAUCUGAAAUUUAGAAUGUCAUACCUUGUGACUUAGGUGAUCCUCGUAUCGAUUAAGACUUAGAACUAGCCGCUUCAAUGUCGAUCCAAGAUCAUGCGGCCUUCGGCGAUCCUCGCAUCGAAUGAGACUUGGAACUGGCAUGCUUUGAUACCAAUCCAAGGCCUCGUGGCCUUGAGUGAUCUUGCCCUUGUUGGACCUAACCCAAGCGAACCUUGACCUUAUUCCAAGCGUGAACAUUUCAAACACACAUUCAAGCACCAACAUGAGAAAACCAAACUAAGGAUCUUACAUCUACCAUGGCUUGAAUGGGUGAGCACCUAACCAAACUGUUGACAACUAAAUUUUGCCGUUUUAUUUAAGACUUAAUAGCAUUAAAGGUUAGGAAUUAGUCAAAAAAUUUAUUAUGAAAAAAUAAUUAAAAAUUAUUUAUUUAAAAAAAAAAAGUCAGGUCAGGCUGGACCCGGCCCGCCUACCUUCAUUUUCUUUUCCCUUGCGGCCCAGCCUUCUUACCCCGCGGCCUAGCCUCCUCCCCCUGUUGGCUCGGCCCGCACCCCAUCAUCCCCCUUCAGCUGGUCUUCGCUGCAGGACCUGCAAAAACAGAAAACAGAGCAACAAAAGGAGCAUCGAUGAAGGAGCAGGCGGAUCGGGAUGGCAGGUGGCUAGCUUGAUCCACGGGUCGGGAUCAACCUGGUUAGCAGCUGGCAUGGUAGGACGAUGACCUGUAGAAGGAAAAUGGAAUAAGAGGGGGGAGCACGAAAUAGAGAAAAAAAACACAGAGGGAGAGUAAAGAGAGAGAGGGAGAGGGAGAGAGAUCGAGAGGAGCAGGAGCCUCCGGGCCACCACCACCAUCACUGACAAGCCACCCAAUUGACGUUGUUCGCCGCCGUCUUCCCUGGAACCCAGAUCUGAAGUGGACGGAGAAAGAGGAGGAACAUAGCACGGGCAACACAGAUAGCGAGAGGGAGAGAGUGACAGGAGGGGGCCACCGGCCUCCUCAUGCCACCGCCGUUCCACUUGAGUCAGCCGUCGUCCCACCAGCCGCUAGAAGUCCUCCUCGCCUGCAAGCUCGCACCAUCGCUUCACCUGCGAUCUCGUGUCACCACUGUGCCAGCGUCGCCUAAUGCUAGCAAUCAAGCCAUCGUCUCUGCCAGGCAGUAGCCCGCCCUUGCCUCUACUCAUCUGCUAGUCUCUGCCGUGACCUGCAGCUGCCGAGCUUCUGCUCGCCGCCUCCAAACACCACCAUCGCGAUGCCCGACCGCUUCUAUCACUAACCGCUCACCACUUCAAAAUGCCGACGCCUGCUGCCGCCACGACCCAACGCCUCCGUCCUUGCGCGUCUACCCGAGUACCAGAUCCUGAGUCCCUGCGACACCGCCUUUGUUCCUGUCGCUGUAGCACCUGUGUCGCGCAAAAACCGUCGUGCCAGCUCGCCCAAGCAUCGUCACCCCUCGCUACCUGCCACCAUCGCCGCUGUCAAUGUAGAGCCCCUAGAGAAGAAGGUUAGAAGCUGGGUCAAAGCUAGGUUGGAUCCGGGUAAGGUUUUCUUAGGAAUCGAGUCACGAUUUAGGAGCUGGGUUGAGUGCAAAUCAAGGUCGAGUUUAGGCUUGUGGGCCGAUUUAGGUCGCGGACCUGCGUGGGUUCAUUUUCUGCGUGGGGGGAAGUAGAGAUUGGGCCCAAUCCAGCUGCAUGAAGGCCCCACCAAGGUUGGUUAGGCCUUAUAUUUUGGGCCGGCCGAUCGGCCCGACCCCUUGUCAGGCCGAACCCGGGCAGGUCUGACCGACUCGCCUCAAUCGAGUCAAACCGAACUAGACCCGGUCUGGACAAGAAAAAAUUAUUUAAAUAUUUGUUUCUAAAAAAAAUUAGAAAAUUCAAAAAUUCAAAAAAAUUUAAAAUUUAAAAAAUGAUGGGGUUUGGUUAGAAAUUGUUAUAUUUUUCCUUCUUAGUGUAAUUAGGCUUUUACUUGCUCGUAUUUUGAUUAUAUCGUAUGUUUAAUUUGCAUAUCUAAUUAUGUUUAAUUGCACGUGUUUAAUUUUACCGCAAUUAGGAUCUUGGUAGCUAUGAUUGUUACUUUAAUGAUUAUGCACCUGCAUGAUCACCUCAUAUGUUAGUGGAUAUGUAUAAAAUCAAUUCAAACUGCUUGACAAAAAUUCUUUCUUUUAAAAUGAACAAGAUUAUGUACCGAAAUGGUGCUAAUUGGUUAAUUAGUGUAAUAAAGUCUCCAACCCUAGAUUCUCUGGUUAAUUAGAUACUCCCAUACCUCACUUGGUUUCUAGCCGACCCCAAUAGGUUAGUAGCGACUCCUUUUUGUGAAAUUCCUAAAAAUAUCACAAUGUCAUGUAAGGUAUGGUUUUGGGAGAGCUCGUGCCUAAUCAUGAGCAAUCAUGGGCUAUAGGCCCAACCUUUAGGCAAUACCCUUAAAUCUGUUCCCUCCCCCCGAAGGGUAAGUCGCGACAGCUUGGCGACUCCGCUAGGGACUUGGUUUUAAACCUUAGAGGACUUAGGCCAAAAUUAAUCUUGUUUAAAAAUAUUUUUGUUUGGCAGUGAGGAUUCCAAGUAUGCCCCUAAAAUUAAAAAUGUUAAAUGUUCUUGUAGAAUGAGAGAUAUAAGGAGAAGUGUUUGCUCACCUUUGUCUUGUAGGGAGGUGUAGGAAUGUAUGGUUUAUUUUUUUAUGUACGAAGUGUUGUUUGCCUAUAAAUUGUUGUGCAUGUAUCCUUUGCAUUGCACUACACCCUAGCACACACAAACUGUCGCCGAACCUAAGCCGCAUAUGAUUUCUUAGGAUGGUGUUGAGGUGGAUACCACUCCGACUAUAACCAUGUAGUACGAGUCACCCAUCUCAACCCCGAAAUUUCUUUCUUGAUGUCAAAGGUCCCAACCCUGGUCUGCAACCGCGUGACACGGGUCAGUUCUUUGAUGAAGUCCGAGUCAUGGGUAACACGACCUAGCCGCGAUCUUAUUGGUUCAGUCCGAUGAUCCUAUGGCUUCAUUUUGAGCUGGAUAGAGUAAAAAUCGAACCACAUCCCAUAUGUAUGUCUAUGUAAUUGAAAAAAAAAAAAAAGAGACAAAGGUCGGCACCCAUUGUAAGUAUCAUUUUCCUUUUUAUUUGUUCAUUUUGUAUUGAACUUCCAUUUUGAAAUUCAUGGACAUCAAUUGAUUGCCCUCGAUGCUAUAGGCUUAUAAUUGAAAAAAUUAGCAAUCACUUUUGAUAAGUGAACAUUGAAUGCAAGUUCUAAACACUUUGAUUUGGCCUCGUUGAACACAUGGUUUUGUUUAAAUUUCUAGUUAUGGGCUCGAAAUCAUUUUGAAAAAAAAAACAAAAACAAAAACGAACUUUCAAGUUGUGAAUUUAUAUUGGGGCACAAAAAUUGAAAUUGCUUUUUUUUUUGUCAAAUUCUCUCAUUCUCACAUUUUGGGACUAAAAUGCAAAUCAUUUUGUGUACAAAUUUCUCAAAAUAGAAGUCACUUCAUUUUUCUAGGAGUAAAAUCACAAAUCAAUCUUUCAAAAAUCAAUGACACUUUUGCAUACAAAACUUUUGGAAUAAAAGUGGACAUUUGAUUGAUGACCGUGGAUUGAUUAUUUUAAUGAUGUUGUAUCUUAUGAUAAAAUCUUAGCGAAAUACUAAACCUCCGUAAUAAGGACUGUGGGGCAUGUAUUGUCGCCUCGAUUUUAUUGUAAGAAGCGACCUCAUUGAGAUAUCAUUUUCUCUCAUUCACGUACUGCACGAUGCUACUUGACAUUCUCGUGGUGACCACAUAAAAAAGUGAAUUCUAGAGCUAGGACAAGAGUUGAUUUUUACUUUCAUCUAUACAAGAGUUUCUUGUAUUUUAUCAUUGUAUUUAUUCUUGUUAAGAAUCUUGUUUUCCAUUUUGGGUUUUGAUUGUUAAUCCAAUUGAUACUUUCAUAAAUCAUGCGACUCAUUUUUUUUUAUGAUGGAAUUCAAUUUCGUGAAAAUCACCCAAAAAAAAAACACACAAAAAAAAAACGAAUUCGGAAGUGUUUCAAGCGAAUCUUUACGUCUACCUUCCAAAAUGAAUGACCAUAAAGCUUUGCUUAAGACCCUCUCUUCGCAUGGUCUCUUUCUUGGGUAGAAUGAGGAGUUUAUUUGAGAUCGGCAUCAGCCCUUCUAAAAGAUAAAAUUGUAGGCUCAUGGAACUUGAGGAGUAAGGAUGCGUUGAGGCAUCGUUAGCGCCAAUUUUCCAUAGAGGUGGAACGAAGUUGAAUUUUGUUCUGGGAAGUUUCGUUAUUCGCAAAUACCUUAGGUGCCAAAAUAGCCCAUCGAUCUCGUUCACUUUGCAUAAUGAGACGAAUGAAGGGAGUUGCCAAGUAUCCAAAAGGGCGAAUUUGAAUGAAGAGUAAACUGUAUCGAUUCCAAUUAUCCAUCUCUGAUACCAUUUCUAACAUGAUUUUCUUUUCAUUGUCAAUGAGACAUCAACAGUACCAAAUUUUGUAACGUUCCAACAAACACGAUGGAGCAUUAUUGAGUCAUGUUUAUCUUAAACAAAUAAAUAUUCAAAUGAUGAAACAGAGGAGCAAUAUUAUCCCUUCCUCCAUGAGAGAUACCUUGGGGAUGUUGAUCACUCGACUUUGAAAAUGAUGUAUCUCGUUCCUAAACUUGAUUAUCUUCAACAUAAAAAAUGACAUGUCAUUUUCCUUGGUACAAGACAAACUUCAACAAAACAAAGGUUUGUCAAAUGAAGAGUGGGAGAAUAACGUUUGAUUUGGAGAAAAAUCUCUCCUUCCCCCACCAAUGAAGUGUGCUAGAACAAUAUUGUCAAAUUCAUCAAGAAAGAAUGUAUCGUUCCUCAAUUGAACCUAAUUAAGUAUGAAGAUAACCCGUUUCAUCUCCUCUUCUUAUAGGGUGAUAAAUGAAAAAAAAAAAAAAGUUGUACCUUGAUCGUAGAAGCAACGCCUUCUACCAAGGAAUCAGGAAAACAUCAAACACUUAAAGGCAAAUGCAAGGAAAGGGUAUUGUCAAGUUACCAAAUAUCCAUGAAGGUGAAUCCAAGAAAUGUUAGCGCCCGAAGGAUGAAAGUGAAUGAAGGGUAAUAAUGUAUCGUUUCCAACAUUUCAAUCCCUAAAGAUUUUUGCACUAACAUAUUAUUUCACAUUCAUUCUUGGGUUACCAAGUCACCAUGACGCAAGUAAGUACCCUUCUUCUCAAUUUUUUUAAAGAGAAAAAGAAAAAAAAAAUGGAGAAUUUCCAUUACAAAAAAAAAAAAAAAACUUUGGCACUUUCUUAGAGACAAGCACAAAAAUGAAUAAUUGAACAAAACUUUCUAUAAAAAAUUUUAGCAUCAUUUUUAUCUCAAAAUAGAGACGGUAACAAUACUUCGAUUGAGGCUGGGACGGGAGCCAAUUUGCCUUGGAUGGAAUCUAUCUGCUUUGAGAGUUGUUGAAGCACAUUGAAGAUUUGCUUCAUUUCACUUUCCAUAAUCUCAACACGGCUUGGUACAUUUUCUUCGGCCAUUCUAGCUUUUGGAUUUGGUGAAUACGACUAUGAUGUGAUUACCUAUCAACACAGAAAAUGGAGAAAACGUAAAUGAGGGAAACACAUGAAAAACUGGCUCAUGGCAAGGGUCGAGUCAUUCUUAUUUAUUAACAGGAGAUUUAUACAAUGCUAAAAAGGGCUUUUUACACCAGUUAGAACGACCCUAGAUAUUCACAUUAGAAAUAUUCACAUCAAAGGUCCCGCUGCCCAUUUUUAUAUGUGAUGGGAAGCUCCAGUCUUGUGAAGCCUCUUGCUUCUUCGUACUAGCUUCGAUACGUGUCUCUUGCUUGUCUCCAAGCUCUUUUCAAGAGAUUUGAUUCGCCCUUGCAGGGUAAGUUUAUCAACUACAUCGGGGAUUACUGGUUGCAGCUCCUUGGGAAUUAUAUGGUUGAGGAUGUAGAAUACUGAUGCAUGAUGAACUUUUUCUUGUCCUUUUAACCUUCUGGGCACGACGAUCUUUUCAAUGUGACAUCUACUCCAUGCGUUCUGAAUUAUGCGAAUCUCCUCCAAGUAGUUGUAGUCUGUACGGGUGAAAAAGAUUCGGAACAAUCCUGAUUUGAGCGGUGGCGGGAUUUCUUGGAGGACCCUGUACUAACGAGCCACCCUAUAUGGAUAAUAUGAGGUAGCUCCAAAGAGGCCAAGCAACGGGAUGGGGUUGUAAUAAUUAAGCGCAAAGCGCGCCUCUCCUGCAAUGAACCAUUUAGCUCGCCAUAGGAAUGUCUCAGGGACCGGGUUUUUUAGCAAGUUAAUCCACCGAGAAUACUCUUCAUUGGGAGAAUAUUUUUCCAAGGUUUGAAACUUUUGUAAUGGGUGUUUAAACUCGUUGAUUUCAAAUAUUUGCAUGAGGUGCCCAAAUCCUUUGAUAUGGGAAAAGAACCACAUUUGUAAAAUUUCUGGAGCGGCCCUCAUGAUUUUUUUUCUUUUUUUUCUUUAAAACGAUUAAGGGAUAAAAACGUUUCGGCUAAAACCAUGUUCACAUAUCCUACUCCAAAAAUGACUUGAUUUAUCACCCAUGUGAUUGAAGGAUUUAUAGCAUUCUUUCGAUGGGGAAAGAUAAUAAAACCAAAGAAUGUUAAGAGGAAGAUCUUGGCUUUUUGGGUCAUUGAUUGUUUUUCAAAGCAUUCAGUUAAAGAUGAUAGCGGAAAAGCAUUGUUGUUGGCUUGAACAAUUUCUCUUGUCGAAUGAUUUUUUAGAAACCGUGAUAAACUAACCACAGGGUCAAUGCCGAUUGGUGGUUUGGCAAGCUCGCUUCCCAGGGGCAUUCCUAUGGCGAGACUGUACUCUUCUAAAGUCGGAGUCAGUUCAAAUUUGCCGAACAUGAAGGUGGAUGUUUCAGGGCACCAGAAAUGUGGUAGUGCUUGCAUGACCCCAGAGUGGAUAUUGAUUUGGAACAAUGGGAGGAGAUGACCGAUUCUUGCUUCGACGCACUCUUGGCCGAGCUGAUCUAACUGUUUCCACCAUCUGAGAAGCUCUCCCUUUGGGGUAGGAAUGAAUUGGAUAUCAAAUCUUCCCAUCGCAUAUAAGAAAGGGAAAUACACAACCUGACCCUAUUUUGCCAUAAGCUAGAAAAGACUGAGUAAAAGUAAAUAAAUCACUUUGCUUUUAAAGAAAAUGGCAAGCACAAAGACAUGCAGAUGAGACGUGUGAUUUCUAACUGAGAAGGUUUGGUGAGAUUAAAAGGAUAUCCACCCAUCGCAGUCUCGCGUUAGCAGCAUACCCUCCUAAUCUUGGCUAAGAAAUUCGGGGAAAAGAAAUGCAACCUCUACAUCGCAGUCUUGCGUUCGAGGUCGUAUCUUUCUUAACACCAUCCUAGAAAUCCUAUGGCGGCCCAGGUCCGGCGGUCGGGUUGUGUGUGCCAUGUGUAGUGUUUAAAAUAGUAAAGCAUGCACAACAGUUUAUCAUCACAAGAUAAUCUAUUUUAAGCAAAAUUAAAAUAAAUUUCUAAGCUUUUGACCUGCAUAAAGAAAAAACAUAAGUCAGUAAAGAAUUUAAACAAGACAAAAAAUGGCCUAAGUCCUCAAAAAUGGUCCCCAGCAGAGUCGCCAAGCUAUCGCGACCUCUUUUUUUCUAGCGUCCGCGAUCGGGUACAAGCGCCUUGUGGAGGCUAAUGGCUCGGCUGAAAUUAGUUAAGCCCGGACUCUCCUAAGUCCACCAAUUCACGACUUUAAUAGUUUAAAUUUUUAACCUGUAAAUUAAUUUUAAAACGGAGUCGCCACUAAUCGGUUUGGGGUGGGUCGAUUAGAAACCCAAGCGAAGUAUCGAGAGAAAUACUUGCUCCUACGCAACCAGAGAAAUUAGAAUCGGGGACUUGAUUACACUAGUUAAUCACCAAUGCCCUUUCGAUACCUAAUCUUGUUUAAACCCUGAGGUUUUUUGGAUGUUCGAGGGAUUUUCCAUGCAUUUUUGGGAGGAAAAACAUUUUUCGAGCGUUUUUCUAAUUUUUUUGACACAAAAGGGAUUUUUUUUUCUUGGACUUUUUUGGUAUUUUUGGAAAAAUACAAGUCUUUUUGGCUUUUUCUGAAUUUUUGGCUUUUUCAUGAAUUUUUGGCUUUUUUUUUGGCAUUUUUUGGAAAAUAUGGGAUAUUUUUUAUUUUUUUUCGAUUUUUCGGAAAAUAAAAUAUUUUUUUAUAUUUUUCAACAUUUUUGGAAAAUAAAUUAUUUUUGAUUUUUCUCAAAUUUUUUUGGAAAAUAAAACAUUUUUUAACAUUUUUAAAACAUUUUUCGGUUUUUUGGAAAUUAAAAUAUUUUUUAUUAUUUUUCCGAAAAUAAAUUAUUAUUAUUUUUGGAAAAUAUUUAUUUAUUAUUUAUUUAUUUAAAUAUCAUUUAAAAUAAAAUUUAAAAAGCCGACCCGAGUCGGAUCCGUGGGUUGGGUUUGACCCGAGCCGGCGACUCAGAUUUUUUUUGUCUUUUUUUUUUAUUAAUCGAAACGGCGUCGUGGCCGGGCGUUUGGGGACACCCGGCCCGGCCCGACGACCCGCUCCACGACCCAGCUCCCAACGGAAACCCUUCCCGACCCGGCUCCAGCUCGCAACCCGACUUUCGCCGCCCCCAGAUCUCGCGAAACCCUACCCAGUUCCGAGACCCGGAUCCGACUCGAUGACCCAGAAAAUCGCAAACCCUAGGGUUUGCGAAUCCACGGCACUAGGGGGGAACCGAGGUGUUUGGCGGCGACGGUGACUACGGCGGCGACGACGAAGGCGACAACGGCGACGGCGACGACGGCUAGGUUAACGGAAAACGGCUACAAUGAAUGGCAACGGUAAUGGCAAUGCUUUUUUUUUUUUUACCUUCUCUCGAACAGGGACGGCGAUGGCAACAAUGGCGGGAACUUAGGGCGCGUUUGGUAACGAUUUUGUUCCCAGGAGCUGAUUCUGACCAGAAAUGAUUAUUUUUUAUUCUGUUCCCGGGAACUAAUUCUGAGUAAAAAAACGUGUUUGGUAACUAUCCAAAAUUUUUUAUUCUGGAAUAGAAUUGCGUUUGAUACUGUGUUAAUUGAUUCUGUUCCAAAUUAAUUUAUUUUAAUUUUUAAAUAAUUUUUAAAUAAUUUUUUUACUUUUUUACUUUUUUCUUUUCUUUUUUCCUUUUUUUUUUUCUUUUUUGCCCUUUUUUCCUAUUCUUCUUCUUCAUAUGGCCGGUCGCCGGCCCUCGGCGAGGUCGGCCUUCGUCGGCCAAGCCUCGCUGGCAGCUGGGCGAGGCUCGCCUAGCCUCGCCGAGCCUUGCUGGUGGCCAGGCUGGCCUCGCCCAGCCUCGGCGAGGCCAGCUUGGCCACUGGCAGGGCUAGGCAAGCCUCGCCGGUGGCCAGGCAAGCUUCACCGGCAGCUGGGCAAAGCUCGCCCAGCCACCGGCGAGGCUCGCCCAGUCCCGCCGGUGGCCAGGCCGGCCACCGGUCGACGAAGGGGCUCGGUCGCCAGCCUCCGGCUUACCCACCAGUUCCGCUCGGCUGAACCAGUGUCCCAUCGAGCUUUCCAGCGAAGCUCGCUCAGCAUUAAUGGUGCCUGAGAUCUUAUCCCCUCCGGCCGACGUCGGCCUACUCUCCUCGACCGUAGGCCAUCCUUCGCGCGUCGGCUUCCCUCGCGCGCGUCAGUUGCAGCGGCGAAGGAGAGGGAAGAAAGAAGAAGAAGAGAGAAAAGGGCCGGGCCGAGGGGUGAAGAAGAGGAAAGUGGGCCUAAGGGCUGUGCGAAAGGAAAGGGGAGCUGGGCCUUGGCUGCUGCUUCUGUUUUCUUUUUGUUUUGUUUUUGCUCGUUUUCUUUUUAUUAUCUUAUUUAUCCGAAAAACAAAAUAAAAUAAAAUAAAAACUUAAUUAAUAAAAUAAAAUAAGCUUAAAUAAAAUUAAGGCGUCAACAAUGAGAUUUAGGAAAAAAAAAAUAGAAAUAAGAUUUUGAGUAGUUUUACUAGAUUAUAGUGUUAAUUUUAGUUUAGAAUUAGUUUAACCUAAAAAAAAUGCGAAUCUUUUGAUGAAAAUUGGAUUCAAAAUUGGAUAAGCUUCUAGGGCUUUACUAUAUGGAUUUUUAAAUACCAUUUUCUUUUAGAGACAAUACUAGGUCAUGAAAGUUUGGUGACUCCGGUAUUCUUCUUUUAAGAUUCUAUUGGAGACAUCCUUUAAGAUCAUCUACAAUUUUGUUUUAAUAGAAAAUUAGAUGGCUUUGAACAAAUGUUUUGCAUUACAAUUUGUCUUGUGUUAUAGCAGUCGAACAAUCUAUGCUCCAUGAAUUUUUUAUGUCAUUUGCUUGAAGAUUUGAUGAGUUUGUGCAAAUAAGCACACCAAAGAUCACUUCCAUCCUCAAUUGUUCCGCCAUUGCCCAUUUUAUCAAGCAACGUUGGCUCUUCUUCUUAUAGUUAAAAAGGUUUAAAAGGGCUAUCCAUUUAUUUAUUAUAAUGCCCAAAGAUUUACCAUCAACAUCCUCACAUUAUGAAUUAUAAACCAGCAGAACUCUUUGUUGUCAUUUCCAACCAUUCAUUUUUUAUUCAUUAUUAUGUUAGAUUUUCUAAGAGCAUUUUGGAAUAUUUUGGUCAAUUAAAUUCUUACAAAAGUCUAGUUUUAUUUAAACAUUAAUUUUUAGGUCUCCACUAACAUUUUUAUAAUUAAAUGAAAAACAUUGAGAAUAUAAAUUUUUAGGGUCGUACCAAACACAUUUAUGUUUGUUUUCUAGUCUGAGAAAAAAAAGUAUUCAGUUAUCAAAAGAAUUCUUAUAUUAAGAAACUUAUUCAGGGAAUAAAAAUGAAAACAAUUUUUUUCUAAAUAAAAAUUAUUUCCGAAAAUAAAAAUGUUAUCAAAUGCAUCCUUAUUGGAUGAGCUAAAGCAAGAUCCAAUGGAUUUAUACAAUCUAACAUUAACAUGGGCUUGAUAGUCAGCACGUAAACACAUUAAGAAUGCAAAGGAAAAGAAUGGAUUUCAAUAACCAAUAGAGUAAAAGGAUUUGAAAGGAAUGAGUUAGAAUGUUAUUGGAAUGUAAACGGGGGAAAAGCAAUGAAAAGAACGCGUAUAGAGAUGAAUUUCUUUAUAAAUGAAAAACUUUAAUAAUCCCUUCCGAUCUAUUCUCUCAAUUUUGACGAGAUUGUGAUUUUAGAAUAAUUUCUUUACCUCUUAGUCCAUCCAAUCGAACUAUAUGUUUGACAAAAUACUUCAAAUCAGGAAGCCGAACCGUCUGUCCAAUUGGUGCCCUAUUGAAAAAUUUUCUUAAGGAUGAGAUUACAAAACAAGAUAGGCCUGAUCAUCGGUUGGAUGCAGUGAUACAUGACCCGUAUAUUUGGUCAAUCACAUUCAUUCCCAAAAGGGAAAAAGCCAUAAAAAAAAAACUUUAAAUUAUACUCAACGUGACAUUUAUUCCGAACCCUUUUUUUUUUUUCUUGUAACAUAAAAAACCCUAAACUAUUUUAACUGAGGCAUAUAUAUCCUUUGUCAAUAUUUUGUUAAAUGAAUUUUCAGCCAAAAUAACGUGAUUUUUAUUUUACUUAAGUCAUGUGGACUAGGAGCGAACAUGGUUUCAAGGUAAAACCUGAAACCUGAGAACUAGACCGGUGGGAACUUAUCUAGUUCUAGGUUUCAAGAUCCAAAAUAUGCAAGGUAGGUUUCAAAUUGUAAAAAUUAAAGAUCUCAUUUUGAUAGGUAGGUUCCAAGUUCUCGAUUAGCGAAACUUCAAACCUAAAACCUGUAACCUAGAACUUGGAAUAAAUUUUUGUGUUUUCCUUGAUUUAUGUCUUUGCACAAUCUUACGAUGUCCUAUAACGUUCAAUGAUAAGUGUACAAUUUGGAACUACUAUAUAAUUUUUUAUUUUAUAAAUUAGACUUUUAUUUUAUUAAUACUUGACAUUUUUCAAAUGUCUAAAUAUAAGUUAGUGUCAAUAAAUUGUAGUAGCAAGUAAUGAUUAUUAAAUAUGAUAAUUCACUAUAAUCGUGUAAUUGAUAAUAUAGGUGGAAUUUGGGUGGACCCUAGAAUUGAUUUUAACCUAUAACAUGGUAGGUUCAAAAUUUCUGGGUAUGUAGAGUAUGUUCUAGAUUCUAAAAAAUACACAACUGGUAAGUUUUAGGUUUCAGGUGAAAUUUGCACGGAAUUUUGAAUCGCUCACUCUUAAGAUGGGCACUAUUAAUAUUUACUUUUUGACGUCUCUAUAGGUAGUUUUUAAUGGUUUUUUUGACAGAAUUUUGGAAAAAGGUAAAUGUAUCACAAAUUUACAAUUUGAGACUUUUGGUGUCAUAGAAAUUUUUUUUAACUUAAACUAAAUAUGUCUGCAUAUAAUUUAAGAUUAUUAUUGUUUUUUUAGCUUUUGACCUUUCCCAAAAUGAAAAGUCCACGGCCACGACCACGACCACGACCCGGGCGGAAGGCACCAGUAGACUCAAGACAGCGUAGCGAUGGCAUCCCGCAAAAAAUGAGUCGCUCUCCAUGCGCCACGUUGCAAGAAUUUCGCUGAAAGUGAACCUUGACCAGACAACGGUCGAUGAAUCAAUGUUGCAAGAAUUCGCUGACGACACUCGAGUUCUUGUUUCCGACGUACUGUCUGAAGAAGCAAUGACACUUGGACUUGAGUUCUGGUUUCCUAUGUAAACCCGAUUAAGGGCCCCAGAAGAGCGGUCUUCUUCCUCCUCCCGUAAUCUCAAGCCACCCACUUCCGCUUUCACAUUCUGUUCCGAGCCGUCUCUCAUGGCGGGCGAAGGCAAAAUCGCCUGUCUCUUCAUCUUUUUCCUCUGUCUCCGCCCAUCUUCGGAGGCACAAACGUGGGUCAAGUCCGGUUACUUCUACGCCGGCAACGAAAUCCCGGUCUCAGACAUCGAUUCCUCUUUGUUCUCUCACCUCAUAUGCGCUUUUGCUUACAUCGACUCUUCGACCUAUCAGCUCUCCGUCAACUCCUCCACUGAGCAAUUCUUCUCCACCUUCACGAGCACCGUGAAACGCAAGAACCCUUCGAUCACCACGCUGCUAUCAGUGUGGGCAGCAGCGUGGGCAGGCCGAGAGGAUCCUUCAGCUUUCGUUUCGAUGCUCGGUGAGUCUUUUUCAAGAAGGUCCUUUAUCGAAUCUACGAUAGGAAAGGCAAGGCUUUAUGGGUUCAGUGGGGUUGAUCUCUGUGGGGUCCUGCCCAGUAGGAGCAUUAACAUGACCAAUUUGAGUGCCCUUUUGCGGGAGUGGAGAGAUGCUGUAGAUGAGGAAUCAAGAAAAUCUGGGAAACCUCCGUUGCUGCUAGUAAUGGCCGUGUAUUGUCAACCCAUUUUUAACUCCGUGAGUUACCCACUUGACUCAAUUCAGAGAAAUUUGGAUUGGGUUCACCUAAAUGCGUAUGAUUACCAUCUCCCCACCAGGGAAAGAUUUGCGCUCCCUCACGCAGCUUUAUUUGACCCAGCAAGCCAGAACAACACAGACUUCUGCAUAACUUGGUUGCUGACUAGACGAUUUCCUGCAAGAAAGCUGGUUCUGGGCUUGCCCUACCAUGGCUAUGCUUGGCAGCUUCAGGAUUCGAGCGCCGAUGCCAUUGGCCAUCCAGCAGUGGGGCAUGCUGUGACGGCGGAUGGGUCAUUUGGAUACAAGGCUAUAAAAUCUUAUGUCCGAGAUUCUGGUUAUGGAGCCAGUCCUGUUUAUGAUGGUACAUAUGUGGUGAACCUUUUCAGAAAGGGAUCGGUAUGGAUCAAUUUCGAUGAUGUGGAGGCCAUCCGAACCAAAGUAACUUAUGCCAAGGAAAAGGGGCUCCUUGGUUACAGUGUGUUUCAGGUCGGCAAUGAUCAGAACUGGGUCCUUUCUCGGACAGGUUAGGAUUAAGUACCUCACAGGAAUUUCUGAAGGUUUUAAAAAAUUAUUGCAUUGAAAAUGUAGAACUAAAUGUAAUUCAAGCACUUAAUUGCCUUGUCAGCUCAAGAGGCCAGUGAAGAUCAGCAACACAGGCGAUGGUUCUGGCUUGUUAUGCUUAUUUCGAUUGCUGUAAUUGUUCUCUUAUAUUUGGCCUGAUAUGCUACUUACAGAGGAGAACAUUGAAAUCAAAAGGUACGUUUUCUAAACUUUACUGGAGGAUUACUGUAAUUUUGUUGGAAUCAGGAACAUUGACUUCCGAAGAAUUAAAGUUCCAGACACAUAUUCUUGAUGUUGGUUCGCAGGUAUUUCAGGUGUAAUAAAAGGAUUUAGUAGCCGAUUAAAGACUAUGGUGUGUAAAGUUGAAAGUCUUGAGAGCGGUACUCGUAGUCUGCGAACAUUUGGUUAUGCUACCCUCAAAGCAGCAACUGAUGACUUCUCAAGUGAAAAUAAGCUUGGAGAGGGUGGAUUUGGACCUGUUUACAAGGUAAAAUAUAUGAGGCCAUUCUUAAGCUAAAGAUUAUUAUUUUCUGUUUCAUUGCAAAUCCCAUGAAGUACGUGUUGGGAGAACGAACCACGAUUGAGGGCCAGAUUUGGUCCUUUUGCUCUAUAACAUGCGUUCGUUGUUGCAUAAUGUUUUUCUUAUUUUUUACGCUCUAGAAUAUGUGGUCCUUCUCAUUUAUAGUCUGAUUUAUAAUUGAGAAAGUGAAGGUAAUGGGAACUUUUCGACCAAAAAAAAAAAUGGUAAUGAGAACUUCCUACUCUUACUAUGAGAGCAAAUCUUUUAUCAUGUUAAACAAAGGUAUGCCGGCUUUCUCUGUAGCAGCUGCCAGUUGGUUGGUUUAUACUCGCGAUUUCAAUCAUUUAGUUGGAAUGAGUCGGUGAGUAUUUCUCACUGAAGCUACAUGCCUCUAAAAGAAAAAAGAAUUGGCAUCGCAACACAACACAAUAAGCUUGAGAUAUUUAGAGAUGCAGCGUAGGUCUUCUUAAUGAUGGAUGCAAGCUUGUCAUUAUAGGAGGUUGGACUUGGAUGCCGUCUGCUCAAGUUUUGUUUUUCAUUAAUGUUCCUUGGGGUUAUGUGACUUAUGUCAUAGACAAAAGACUGUCUUCCAGCAUAAACAGUGAAAUAUUUUGUUAGUCUACCAUGUUCGAGUGGAAGUUAGUUGCCCUGUUCUGACCAUCAGCGUACAUACCUGUUGCUCAGGGCAAGUUGCCCAAAGGACAGUACAUUGCAGUGAAGAGACUUUCGAAAACUUCAAACCAAGGGCUCGAGGAGUUCGAGAACGAAGUUAUGCUCACUGCCAGCCUGCAGCAUGUCAACCUCGUUCGCCUAAUUGGAUUUUGUACCAACAGGGAAGAAAAGAUGCUGAUCUAUGAGUACAUGCCAAAUAAGAGCUUGGACUUCUACCUAUUUGGUUCGACAUCUUCCUUGCUUCUUAAUAUUCAUUGAGCAAAACCUGGGUGUUUUUAAGUGACAUCUAGUGUGAUACUCCAAGAGGCUUAGACGGGUCCCCAGUUCCGCUACAAUGGCUAGGGCAGCUAGACCCUUUUUAGCAUUU